UGUAUAAGAGUAAAGUCAGUCUUACCGCUAGUACGCCUCAUUCACGAAGCCGGUCUAUAAGGUGGGUAUAAGGUUGUUGCCUAUAAAAUGGCAACUUAAUGGGUGUCCACUCUCACCCACCGCUUGCUUGACUGGUGGAGGGUCGUUAGCCGAACGGGUAAGACAAGGACUUAUAAAUUCUCAUUAAAAGUAUGAUGAAUAUUAUAAAGUAACUAAAUGUUUUAUUAAAUUCCCAAUCUUAGUUACCUUAGGAAAAAUGUGAAUAAGGUGCUAAUCCAUGAAAUUACACUUUACACUUUGUCUAAGUCGUUAGUGGAGCGUGUGUGGUUAACCGGCACACUAACUUGGACUUAACAAGGUAGGUAAAGGGUGACUUAAUAUUUAUCAUAGUAUCGAUGGAGCGUGUGUGGUUAACCGGCACAUCGAUUGAGGGGUAAUUUAUUAAGGGUACCAAGUGAUUUGCAUGGUUACUUCACACCUCGUUUUGUGAUCCUCGGCAUCCCAGUCACAAAACUUGGAGGGCACACUCGAGAUUGAAACAUGCCUUUGAAAAGUUCAUUGAAUCUCAAAAGAAUCUAGGAGUUUCUAAGAACCAAAUUUAAUAUUUUAAUAUUUCGACUUUGGUGGAAAUUGGUGAAUCGUCAUUCACCUACCUUUCAAAUAUGUUAUUACUUAGAUUAUGGCAUACCUCUUCUAAAUAUAAUAUAUUGUGAUUGGAUCCUAGCCUUAAUACUACAUUUGGGUGUUUUAUUAAGGACUAUGUCAAUAUAUAAACUAAAACCUUCUUUUUUCUUUUCAGAUGUCUGCAAACACUACUGCUUAUGGCUCUAAUCCCAAUGGCUCCUUUACCCUUAUGAACUUAUGUGGGAAAGUCACUUUUGAUGGAUCCAACUUUAAUGAAUGGAUCAGAAACAUCAGAAUGAUUACUCGCUACGAGGACAAGGAAUAUGUCCUCGAUAAGGAGCUUAAGGAGAUUGAUGAGUCAGUUUCUACUCCUCAAGAGAUCGCUGAGUUUAGGGCACAUGAAAGGGAUGCCACCAAAGUGGCAUGCAUCAUGAUGGCCACAAUGACCGCGGAUCUCCAAAAAUCCUAUGAAGAUUUCUACCCCUAUGAGAUGCACCAAGACUUGAUGGAAAGAUACCAUCAAAGUGCUCGUCAAGAGAGGUAUGAAAUCAUCUCCUCCAUGAUAACAACUUGCAUGAAGGAUGGUGAAUCCAUCACGGGCCACAUGCAGAAAAUGAAAAGAUUAGUGGACCGUUUGCUGAAGCUUAAUGUGAACUUCCCCGAGGAGCUUGCAAUAGAUAUCAUUUUGCACUCCUUACCUUCAUGUUAUGAUCAAUUCCGCAUGACAUACCACAUGAACAAGGAAGAGGUCACCCUCAACAAAAUUCAAGGACUCUUAAAGACCGCGGAAAAUGGUCUUAAGGGUAAGGCGGUUGUUACUACUUCUACUCCUGCAAACUCCGCCCCUAUCUUGGCAAUCGGGAAAGGACGAGGGAAGAAAAGAAAGAGUUCUUCGAAGGGUACCAAGGUUAGGACCCUUGAUGGCUCUUCUUCAAGUGGAACCAAGAAAGGUUUCAUCACUCCUUCUUCUGACCCAAAAGAGGCUGAAUGCUUCUAUUGCCAUGAAAAGGCACAUUGGAAGCGGAACUGCCCAAAGUACCAGCAAGAUGUGAAGGAUGGGAAAGUUAAACCCAACCAUGCAGGUAUUUACACUAUCAUUUCUAAUAACUCACCCCAUUCUAAUUCUUGGGUCCUUGAUACCGGUUGUGGUAUUCAUAUUUGUUGUGACUUGCAGGGACUAAGAAGAAGUGAGAAUGUGGAGCAAGGAAGAAUAAACUUAAUCAUGGGGAAUAGGAAAGUUACACCUGUCACCAAGAUUGGAGUUUAUACUUUGUCGCUAAGUAGUGGGUUUAGUUUAGAUUUGAAUAAAUGUUGUUAUUCGCCAGAAAUGGCAAGAAAUAUUAUUUCCUUUCAUGCAUUGUAUAAACAAGGUUUUACCUUUUCAUUUAAUAAUGAAUUUGGUUCUAUUGAUGCUUUCUUUAAUAAUGUUCUUUAUUUUAAAGCAUUACCUUGUGAUGGCCUGUAUGAAACAGUAUCUGUGGUUGAUAACUUAGGAAAUAAUGUGAUGUGUAUUGAUUCUAUUAAUAACUUGGAUAAAGCAUCAUUAUGGCAUUGUCGACUUGGACAUAUAAGCAAGAAGCGCAUAGGCCAACUCCAAAAGGAUGGAGUCUUGGAAUCAUUUGACCUAAAGUCAGAUGAUAGUUGCGAAUCGUGCUUACUUGGAAAAAUGACAAAGUCACCCUUCACAGGUUCUUGUGAGAGGGGUGAAGGUUUGUUGGACCUAGUACACACGGAUGUGUGUGGACCAUUCAAACAUGCCACAAGGGAUGCUAAUCGUUAUUAUUUGACUUUUACUGAUGAUUACAGUAGAUAUGGAUAUGUCUACUUAAUCAAGCAUAAGUCAGAGACUUUCGAGAGGUUUAAGGAAUUUAAACAGGAAGUCGAGAAUCAAUUGGGCAGGAACAUUAAGAUGCUUCGAUCCGAUCGUGGUGGUGAGUAUCUUAGUUCAGAGUUCCUCGACUAUCUAAGGGAAUGUGGGAUAGUCUCACAAUUGACACCUCCCAGGACACCACAGUUGAAUGGUGUGGCUGAGAGGCGUAAUCGAACCUUGUUGGAUAUGGUUCGUUCCAUGAUGAGUCGAGCUUCGCUACCAAUCUCAUUUUGGGGGUAUGCCUUAGAGACUGCCGCCCAUAUCCUUAAUCUAGUCCCUACAAAGAAAGUUGCCAAAACUCCUCACGAGAUGUGGACUGGUAAAGUACCCAAACUAGACCACAUCAAGAUUUGGGGUUGCGAAGCUUUCGUGAGACGCGAGACUCAUGAUAAGCUCGAACCUCGAAGCGAGAGGUGUAUUUUCAUCGGCUACCCACAGCGAUCCUUUGGUUACCUCUUCUACAGACCUAGUGACAAUGUGGUCUUUGUAGCAAGAAGAGGAGUCUUUCGAGAAAGAGAGUUUAUAAGCCAAGGAGACAGUGGGAGGCAAAUUGAUCUUGAAGAAAUUCAAGAAUCAAGCGGUGAAGGAACUUCAAACUCUAGCCCUCAACUUGAGGAGGAAACUCCUGUUGAGCCAAUUGACAAAUCUGUACCUCUGAGACGUUCCACGAGAGUUAGGAGUGCACCUGAGCAUUACUAUGGAUUCCAUAUUACUGCAGAAGGUGAGACACUUAUUAGUGAUGAGACACUAGUAAGUCAAGAUGACCCUAACAGCUACGAGGAAGCCAUGGCAGGCCCCGAGUCUGCUAAAUGGAAAGAGGCUAUGGAUAGCGAGAUACAAUCCAUGUAUGACAAUCAAGUUUGGAACUUGGUUGAAAAUGUACCAGGUCGUAAGACAGUAGGGUGCAAAUGGGUCUUCAAGAAGAAGACCGACAUGGAUGGUAAAGUACACACUUAUAAGGCUAGACUGGUUGCAAAGGGCUUCUCUCAAAUUCCUGGAGUGGAUUAUGAUGAGACCUUUUCUCCGGUAGCCAAGAUUAAGUCUAUUCGGGUUCUGUUAGCCAUAGCUGCAUUUCAUGANNNNNNNNNNNNNNNNNNNNNNNNNNNNNNNNNNNNNNNNNNNNNNNNNNNNNNNNNNNNNNNNNNNNNNNNNNNNNNNNNNNNNNNNNNNNNNNNNNNNNNNNNNNNNNNNNNNNNNNNNNNNNNNNNNNNNNNNNNNNNNNNNNNNNNNNNNNNNNNNNNNNNNNNNNNNNNNNNNNNNNNNNNNNNNNNNNGCUCUCCCUCGAGCUCUCGGCGUCUCGGCCUUCACAGGCCGACUCUCUGUAACUCUGGUGGCGGCAGGAGCAGACCCCUGAGAUGCUCCGCGCAACUGCGGACACUCGGCCUUCCGGUGUCCGGUCUGGUUGCAGUGAAAGCACACUGCAAACCCCUUGGGGCAGUCCUUGGCCAUGUGCCCCUCCUUACCACAUUUGUAGCAAGACCCUGCUCGGCAGACUCCGUCAUGACCCUUGCCGCACUUUCCGCAAGUGCGGCCCUUCUGGCUCCCUGGUCUGGGAUCAGCAGGCUUGGCCCGCUUGGCGGCCGGCUGCGACAACGCCGGUCGCCGAUCCCUCCCCUGAGACUCUGCCUCCUCCCUGGCCUGGGUCUCAAGCUCAAUCUCCCUCUUCCGGGCAUUUGCCUGAAGCUCGGCAAAUGUCCGGUACGAGGAGUUCGCAGCGAACUCCCGAAUAUCCCUCCUCAAGAUGCUCAAGUAGCGGCUCAUACGUGCCUGCUCAGUGGACACGUGCUCAGGGCAGAACAUCGCCCUCUCGUGGAACAUCCUCGUGAUCGCUGUAACAGACUCAGUACCCUGCUUGAGGGUCAGAAACUCCUGUGCUAAACGCUCCCUCUCCACCUGGGGAACGUACUCAUCCCGAAACAUAGUGGUGAACCUCUCCCAGGUCACCGCAGAAAGCUCAGCAGGCGAAUAAUGCGCUGUCACAAACUUCCACCAGUCCUUCGCUCCCAAGCGAAGCUGGUUCAGCGCGAACCGUACCUUCAAAUGCUCAGGAGACGAGCAAGUGAAGAAACACCCCUCAAUAUCAGAUAUCCACCUCAUAGCUGCCACCGGAUCCUGAGUACCAUCAAACUCUGGUGGUUUUGUGUUGCUGAACUCACGGAACAGCAACGCAUCCCCACCCUGCGGCCUCGCAGCAGCAAUCGCUGCGGUAGCCGCUGCAGCAGCAGCCUCAGAAAGAGCGGCAUAACGCUCAUCAAACGUCUCAAUCAAUGUGGUCUUUAUAGACCCAAACAUCUCCGGUAUCUCUGCCCUGAUGGCCGCAGCCACCUCCUCCUGAAUGAUCCGGCGGAUCUCCUCCUCACUGGUACCACUGCUCUCGGGCAUCAAACGUGUCCUCACCAUGAUCUACCUCUGAAAUACAACAUACGAUAAAUUAGAAUCCACACGAGUAUGCUCACACUCGUCAACUCUUUCCUCCUUGAUUCUUGGCAUUCCAAAGAUUCUUACUUGGGCUGCACACCGCUCCGGUGCUUCCAGUAGUACGGGCCCAAUACUACUGUCCGCACCGCACCAGAAUACACUCCAAGUCCUCCUCUUCGGAUUCCAGGUCUCAAGUACUCUAUCAUGCGUAGACCACUCUCUAAUAGAUCUCUCAUAAGUCCCUCGCUGCUACCUACUCACUCUCAAGCAUCUCAUAGCAGCUCACCUCUCCCUAGGCUAAGGCAUCACAAAUCAGGCCACUCUAGUCCUAAUAGCAAUACCUAGCCUACUCUAGCAUGCGAAUACAUCAUAUCAAUGUCAAUAUCACAUAAUAUAUAAAGGUAUUUUGGGAAAUCACCGUUCGGGCGCUGACUGAUCGUACACACAUCUCUUGCUCUGCGUUUUUCAAAAAUCUUUUACUCUUUUUGAAAAUACAUCUCAAAUCCUCAGUUUGAGUUCAAAUACGCCCGAAGGUGUACUCGAAUCCCUCAAACCAAGGCUCUGAUACCAACUUGUAACACCGUGAAUUUCAAAAUAAUUUUUCGCAAUAUAAAAAAAAACAUUUCUCAUUUAAUUUCAUAAAAACAUUAAGUUUCAAAUUCCAAUAUGUAUCAUACAAAUCCCAAGAUCACAUAAAUAUAUCAAAAGUCCCCUGCAUGUGUACAGAUCAAGUCGGCGCCUUCCCACGGUCAUCGCUAGUACCUGAAACAACAACACUAACACUGUAAGCACGAAGCUUAGUGAGUUCCCCAAAAUACCACACAUAGAACGCAUAUUAGCCACUCGAGGCUAUAACUCUAUGGGUCCGUGCACCCAACUCUGUGAACCCUCAGGUUCUAACUCUAGGAACCUUCCGGUUCCAACUCUGUAAUCAUGCACAACAUCAAUCACAUAGAAAUAAUGCAGUACAACACAUAGCAUACACAUAACAUUGGUGCUAGGCUCUAAAACUCCAAGGAAUCAACUACAACUACAAGGUAAGUGUUUCUACUAGCUCUAUUUGAUUCAAGUUCUCCAUGCCAUGCUAGUUAGGAUAUGAACCUUGGAAAAAUAAUUAUUUGCAUGUAUCUUAGACAAACAUAGAUCCAAGAUUUAUUAGGGUUGCAUGUACACUUAGGAAGUGUUAGAAUGCUCAAAACCCAUCACUUCGGGGUAUCCUUCCCAAUAGACUACAUUCUGAUUCCCAUGGGGGAUGUAUGUGUGAUUGUGGGUAUGGACUGGUUGAGUCGCAUCAGUUCCAUGAUCGACUGCGAGGGUCAGUAGGUGGUAGUUCGAACCCCAGGUGGGGGAGAACUGGUUAUCUUCGGUAAGGGCACCAGGCUAGGAUCAGGGUUUUGCUUGGCUGCCAGGACUCGACAGUCUAUUCAGCACGAGUGUGUGGGUUACUUAGCGUAUGUGGUGGAUAUGCGGGUUAAGGAUUAGGUUUCGGUUUCAUAUGUUCUGGUUGUCAGGGAGUUCGCUGAUGUGUUUCCGGAGGAGUUAUCUAGAGUGCGUCCAAAGAGGCAGGUCGAGUUCAGGAUCGACCUAGUGCCAGGUACGGUCCCUGUCGCCAAGGCGUUGUACCGAUUGGCACCACUAGAGAUGCAGGAGCUGUUAUCACAGCUGCAGAAACUGUUGGGCAAGUAGUUCAUUCAUCCGAGUAGUUCCCCGUGGGGAGCACCGAUUCUCUUCUUGAUAAAGAAGGAUGGUUCACACCGGAUGUGCAUUGACUACCAGGAAUUGAAUAAGUCGAUGGUGAAGAACUGUUAUCCACUACCACAGAUCGAUGAUCUCUUUGAUCAGCUGCAUGGAGCAUCUUGGUUCUCCAAUAUAGAUUUGAGGUCCGGGUACCAUCAGGUCAGGGUACGACAGGAGGACAUGGUGAAGACCGCGUUCCAGACUCGUUAUGGACACUACGAGUUCGUGGUAAUGCCGUUUGGGCUCACCAACGCGCCAACUAUAUUUAUGGACCUAAUGAAUCGGGUAUGUUGACCGAUUCUCGAUCGCUCAUUCAUUGUGUUUAUAGAUGACAUCAUAGUGUAUUCCAAGACCAGAGAGCAGCACGAGGAGCAUCUUCGGGAGUUACUGGGGGUCUUGAGAUGAGAAUGGAUUUAUGCCAUGAGGAACUGGGCAUGCGACUGCAUUUCAGUACCACAUACCAUCCGUAGACAGACGGCCAGAGCGAGCGGACCAUUCAAACCCUCGAGGAUAUGUUGAGGGCCUGUGUUAUUGACUUCGGUGGGAUUUGGGAAUCCUACCUACCCUUGCAAAAUUCUCCUAUAACAACAACUAUCACUCCAGCAUUAGUGCUCCACCUUAUGAGCUGUUGUACGGACGGAGAUGUCGUACCCCGGUCUGUUGGGGGUGAGGUUCGCCACAGAGUAAUGGAACGGACAGAGGUAGUUUCGCAGACUACCGAUAGGAUUCAACAGAUCAGGUAGCGACUGCAGACUGCUCAGAGUCGGCAUAAGAGUUACGCCGAUCGAUGCCGAUCUGAAUUGGAGUUUCAGGUUGGUGACAUGGUGCUACUGAUGUAACACCGUGAAUUUCAAAAUAAUUUUUCGCAAUAUAAAAAAAACAUUUCUCAUUUAAUUUCAUAAAAACAUUAAGUUUCAAAUUCCAAUAUGUAUCAUACAAAUCCCAAGAUCACAUAAGUAUAUCAAAAGUCCCCUGCGUGUGUACAGAUCAAGCCGGCGCCUUCCCACGGUCAUCGCUAGUACCUGAAACAACAACACUAACACUGUAAGCACGAAGCUUAGUGAGUUCCCCAAAAUACCACACAUAGAACGCAUAUUAGCCACUCGAGGCUAUAACUCUAUGGGUCCGUGCACCCAACUCUGUGAACCCUCAGGUUCUAACUCUAGGAACCUUCCGAUUCCAACUCUGUAAUCAUGCACAACAUCAAUCACAUAGAAAUAAUGCAGUACAACACAUAGCAUACACAUAACAUACAUACAGUAACACAUAGCUCUGAUUACCUACUCAAGGUAAAGUAUAGUGAGAAGACUCACCUCGCGUAUCUCGGUAUCUCACGAAUCCUGGAAAUCCCUCGUGCUCGAUCCUCCGAGCUCUAAUCCUCCUAUAACAUCACAUGACUCUAAUUAACACUUUUUAUCUCUAAGGUUGACUAUCUCUAAUUAACACUUUUUAUCUCUAAGGUUGACUAUCCCUAAGAAGUCAACACAGGUCAACGGUCAACGGUCAACUUUGACCGGACUCGGCGAGUGCACACGGCAACUCGGCGAGUCUAGACGUUCUCACCAACUCUCUAGGAUUCCCUUUCUACACGUCGAGUACUCCCCCUGACUCGACGAGUUUCACCUGGCAGAAAUCGCGGGGCCACCCCGACUCAACUCGCCGAGUCUCAAGAACGACUCGGCGAGUCCCAGCUCGACUCAGUCCACUUGACAACCCUCUCUAACUCGCCCUGACUCACUGAGUCAACCCAUGACUCGACUGGACCACUCACUGGCCGGUCCAAGGCAAUCUUCAAGCUACUCGCCGAGUCUGCUCAUCGGACUCGGCGAGUCCAUGCCAUGCAAUCACUCAAACUUGCUUCUAAGGUCAGAUCUAUUCCAUCAAUUCAUAGAUCUGACCUUCCUAGACUGAUUCACCACGUAAAGCCCCAGACUUGGUGCAUAAACAACCUCUAUAUGACCAUAUAUGAAGAAUUAUCAACAAUUAUCACUACUCAAGGUCAUAACCUCCAUUGUUCUCUAUAAAGCUUGAUGAAUGAGGCUCUCUGGGCCUCUAUGGAUCCAGAUCCAAAGUCUCAUCACUAGCAAGGGACUAUUUGGCCAUCCAAUCAACUCAACAAGGUCACAAGAAACCCUAAAAUCAAUUAUAAUUCACAAAACAGGAGAUGGGCCGAAAUCAUACCUUUAGAUUGAACGGCUAAGCUUCAAAUCCACAUAAUAGCAAUCUCCUUUGUCUCCUCUUGGCUAGAACCUCCCUCUUCUUUACUAAACUACACACAAAUGUCAAGAAAUGCUUCCUUUCUCUCUCAAAUCGCUAAGGCACUCUAGGGUUUCUCUCUAUGGACUGUUGGGUGCAAAUGACGGCCAUAAGGCCCUUUAAAUAGGUCCCAAACCCGAGAAAUUAGGGUUUCAUUAAACAGCGUGGACUCGACGAGUCCAUAUCCUGGACUCGCCGAGUCCAUAUCCUGGACUCGCCGAGUCCAGACGAAUCCCGGGUCCAGAAUCGCGACCCUACUCAGCGAGUCUGAGCUCCAACUCGCCGAUUCCCCUCUCAAAACACCAAAAAUCAAAACAAUAAAGAUACCUGGAAAUCCGGGCUAUUACAACUAAAGGUCUCACGCUGGAAGGGUGUGAUUCUCUUUAGGAAGAGGGGGAGGUUGGUUCCCUGAUACAUUGGGCCAUUCAGGGUUAUUGUCAUGGUUUGCAAGGUGACGUAUAGACUGGAUCUCCCAGUGAAGCUUAGUCAGAUCCACAACACUUUUCAUGUCUCGCAAUUGCGGAAGGGCAUACUGGAUGAGGAGGAAGUGGUGUCAUUAGAUGAUAUUCAGGUCGAUGAGCGCAUGAAUUACGUGGAGAAGCCAUUGGCCAUUCUGGAGAGAAAGGUGACGGUUCUAUGGAACAAGGAGGUACCUUUGGUGAAGGUACAAUGGGAGCACUAUAGAGGAUCUGAGUGGACAUAGGAGCUGGAGGCAGAGAUGCGGGAGAAACAUCCGGAGUUGUUCACCACAACAGCCUUCCAGGAUGAAGUCUAGUUCAAGUGGGGGAGAAUUGUAACACCCCAAAUCCAAGGUAUAAAUUUUAAAAGUUUUAUAUUCAUUAUUGGAGACCUACUCGACGAGUUGGUUGCCACAAAUCGUCGUGUAGAGACGUAUAUGUUGGAUUAAUGUCUAAGUCCACAACUAUAUUUGGAAUGUACUUGACUUGACUCGGCGUGGUCCAUUUGGGUUGCACUUCACCAACACAAUUUAUAUGGAUAGUCUUUUGAGAAUAGUAUAUUUAUGAUUUAUAUUAAUAUAUUCUAAGUUCUAAUAUAUUAAUAUGGAAUCAUAUUAUUUAAUUAGUAUUGAUCAAGAAUUAAUUUAGAAUUAAUUAAGUGAUCAAAAUGAACUAAUUAAAUAUGGACUCUUAUAUAUAUGGAAUGGGCCAAGUUCAUUUAGGUUGGGCUAAGCUUUCAUGGAUAGUCCAUGGAGUGUUUAACUCAUGGAUCAUAUGAAAUGAAAGGUCAUGGGUAUUAGGGUUUAACCCUAAUCCUCCAUACUAUAUAAAGAUGUCUUUGGUUGGUGAAAUUGGCACUAGUGUGGAUACACUAAAGAAGGGCUAGCCAAUUUCACUAGAGAGAACCAAGUAAUCAUAUUCUCUAAAGUAUUCCAAGGUGUCUUGGUGAUUUGUGAUUCCACUUGAGGCUUCCACACUAUUGGGGCUAAGCUCUUAAAGCUUGAAGACAUCAAGCUACAUCAAGAGGUAUGUAUUCUAUCUUGUUACAUUCAUAGUUUUUGUAUGCUAGAUUAGGAUAAUACCUUGGAUGUUCUUAUUUGCAUGUAUAAUAGAGAAAACAUAGAUCCAAGGUAUUUAGGGUUGCAUGUACACUUAGGAAGUGUUAGAAUGCUCAAAACCCAACAGUGGUAUCAGAGCCACGGGUUGUUUUCUGUUAUAUUGAUGCAAAUAUUUUAUUUUCAAAGUUGAAAAAAAAAGAAAAAAAAAAAUUGAAGUUCGUCAAAUUUUAAGAUAAUUACUUGUUCUUGUGAAAAACUAAUUAUUUGUAAAAUUUGAAUAAUUUGCUUUAUGAGUUGAAUUAGGUCAAAUUUAAUAAAAGAUAAAAUAAUAUGAUUAUUUUAUUAGUUUUAAAAGUUUGAUCUAAAGAGUUUUAUUUUUUGAAACCUCCAUAAGUUAUGGAUAUGAAAAGGUUUUAAAAAAAAAAUUGAUUCAAAGUUUUUUUGGAGUUACAAAAUUUGGUGUUAAUGUUUUAAAGGAUUCCAUAACUUAAGAAUAAGUUAUGGAUCACCAAAAGUUUUUUGUGUUACCUUGUUUUAUGAGUGAAUUUAGAUUAAUGAAUAAAAUUAUGUGAUAGUUGGUUUUAAUCCAAAUUAAUCUAAGAAUUGAUUCUAAAAUGUGUUUUUGUAACUUGUCCUCAAGUUAUAUGAAAAGUCACAUUUAAGAAUCAUAAAACUCAUAAAAAUUGGCAAAGGUUACAAAAAUGAAGAGUCUAGUUCUAAUUAAAUGGUUUUAUGACUCCAUAACUUGUCCUCAAGUUAUGGAGGACCAAGAGUCUCUUCAUUUAAUAAAAUAAAAUAAAAUAAAAAAAGGUGUAACCUUAAUUAAUUCCAUAAGUUAUAAAAUAAAGAAAAGUUAAUUCUUUUAUUAGUUUAAAGUCUUCCAUAACUUGUCCUCAAGUUAUGGAACUUGAAGAGUUUUUGGAUUAAAACUACUUUAAACACAUAAGUUAUGGAAUUAAUUAGUUUUGAAUAGUUUCAAAACUUGCCCUCAAGUUUUGGAAUUUGUAAAGUUUUCACUUAUGAAUACUUUAAUUCCAAGUUAGCCCUUAGAAUUUUAAAAGUUAAAAUUCAACCCUUAUACUUUAUAAUAUUAUAAGUUAAUAAUAUAUAUAUGUAUAAGAGUAAAGUCAGUCUUACCGCUAGUACGCCUCAUUCACGAAGCCGGUCUAUAAGGUGGGUAUAAGGUUGUUGCCUAUAAAAUGGCAACUUAAUGGGUGUCCACUCUCACCCACCGCUUCCUUGACCGGUGGAGGGUCGUUAGCCGAAUGGGUAAGACAAGGUCUAUAAUUCCCCUUCAUUAAAAGUAUUAAUGAUAAAUACUAAGUAACUAAACCUUUUAUAAAUACCCAAUCUUAGUUACUUAGGAAAAUGUGAAUAAGGUGCUAAUCCAUGAAAUUACACUUUGCACUUUGUUUAAGUCGGUUAGUGGAGCGUGUGUGGUUAACCGGCACACUAACUCGUAUUUAACAAGGUAGGCAAAGGGUAACUUAAUGUUUAUCAUAGUAUCGAUGGAGCGUGUGUGGUUAACCGGCACAUCGAUUGAGGGGUAAACACUUAAGGGUACCAAGUAAUUUGCAUGGUUACUUCACACCUUGUUUUGUGAUCCUCGGCAUCCCAGUCACAAAACCUGAAGGGCACACUCGAGAUUGAAACAUGCCAUUGAAAGUUCAAUGAAUCUCAAAGAUCUAGGAGUUUCAAAUCCAAUUAAAACCUAAUAAAUUAUUUCGUUUUUCAUGGUGGAAAUUGGUGAAUCGUCAUUCACCUACCUUCAAAUAUUCUAUAGCUUGGAUUACGGCAUCCCUCUUCCAAGUUAUAAAAUAGUUUGUUGGGUCCUAGCCUUAAUAUUUCAUAUUGGGUGUUAUAUUAAGGACUUUAAAUCAACUAUCUUGAAUAUCUCCCAAAAGAUGUCUAGUUCAAACAUCUAUGAUCUUCCCAAAUAUCUUGGAACUUCACUUCCUCCACCUCCUCCAAUUAUUCUCCCUAACCAACAAGUUCAAGGUCACUCAAGCCCUAUUGGCAAGGCAAGGUCUAGGUGUGAGCAUAUCUUGGAGAUGAAGUCACAUACUUACAAGCCGGGAGAUUUGGGUGUCAAAGUCUUGAGAAAGUUAGUGGUUCAAUCACUUUCUAAGUCACAUAGUGAGUUCCUUUGGGACUCCUAUGAAAUAGACUAUGACAAGACCCUUAAUGAUCUUAUCUAUUUUCUUGGUGCUGCUAAAUCAGAAAUGAUUUAGUGUACUAGUAAAGCAAAUUUGAUUAGGAGAUCAACUUUUCAAAACUUUAUGGACAGGGACAAUAGUGACACAGGAAAUCCAGAAAUGCAUUCUCUUCCUAAUGGAAAGGGAUUGGCCAUAGUCAACUUGGUUGACCAAAUAGUAAAGAGAAAGGCUAAGUCUGAGAUAGUCCCAUGUACUAUACCUAAGGGUCCAUAUGUUUCUAUUGCCAAAGGAAGCAGCUUUGGUUACGAAGCUGCCAAACUUACCUAAGGAUGGUAAAGUCAAUAAGUUUGUGUUUAUUUUAGGUAAAGUCCAUUGUCGAACUCUGUUAAGUUCCUACUUGGAGAUUCUUAUUACAUGAUGUGGCUGGGUCACAUGUUGAUGUUUUAAGAAUCAAAGAAAACUAAAGAAAUUUAAAGGAAGUAUAUGCUGAUUCUGAUCGCGAAGAUGGACUUCAAUUGCAUGGUUCGUGUGACAACUCGAAGUUUGCUCCAUCGCCAUAAACCGUUUCCGCCCAUAAAGUUCGGCUUUUUCGUUAAAGUUUUAUAUUAAGUCAUUAUUUUUUAGGCUUAUAUUAUGACUUAAUUGGUAUCCAAACACGUUAAUAACUCAAGAAAAUAUUCCAAAUUAUCAAUUAGAAAAAUUUUAGUUUUGACCAUAUCGGGUAACGGCAACUUAAUCGGGUGUGACUAAAAGCCACGUCUAACGUCAAUAUCGGGUAGAAUUCCACCGUGUCCCAAACUUAGGACCUAUUUAAAGCUCAAUAGACUUCAUUUGAAGCUUUUACUCUCUCUCACCACUCUCUCUCUAACCUCUCUCCUCAAACCAAAGAACUAGGUCCAAAACUCCAAUUUAAGGCUUCUUAUCACCAAGGUACCUUCCAUAACUCCUAGUAUAACAUCUUCGGCCUUCAAAUUCGAUUUCAAAUCGUGGAAUAGGACCAUAUUCAUGAGUUUAUAGUCCUAGAACAGCCCUAGGCUGUGAACUCACAUAAAUUGGGUUUUAGAGCCCAAAAACCCUUCCAAUCGACCUUUGGAGCUUAGAUAUGGCUUAAUGGCUUAAUGGAAUAGACUUAGAAUGCCUUAAACAUGGAUUUUGAAGAGUAAACAUGAGUUUACUGCCCAAGAACACGCUUGGGCCGUAAACUCAUAUAAAUGGGGUUUUUAUGCCCUUAAACCCUUCCAAAACUCCAUUGAAGCUUAGAUAUGAAUUGCAGAAUAUUGGAUUAAGCCUUGGAACACCUUGAACAUUAAAUUAGAGGAGCAAACAUGAGUUUACUACCCAAGAUCAUGCUUGGGCCGUAAACUCAUUAUCAUGGGGAGUAAACUCCUUUUAGUGCGUUAAAAUGCCAUUUACACACACCAUAAGCCUUGGGAUAAAUUCUAGAAGUGACCACAAAUAAGAUUUGGACCUUAAAACAUAUUAAAUCCCCCAUCUAAGGAGUUCACGGCCAUGAGGGGGUUCAUGGGCCUUAAACUCCUAAAUCCAUGCCAAACGUCACCCAAAAAUUCAUACAAGGCUUGGAAAAAUCAUUUGGAAUCACAUGUGAUUGAUUAAGGACCCAAGCAUUAAGGAUUUGGUGUGAGGGGGAGUUUACGGCCGUAAACUCCAAUAAAUGGUCUUUAAGUGAGUCUAAAUUCAUUCCAAUGCCUUAGAUUAAAUCCUAGCUAAAUUAUCCUUGAGUUAUGAAGCCAUUUUGCACCCAAAAACACCAUCUAUGAGUUCACGGACGUGAACUCAUAUGGAUGAGGUGUUAAGGGGUCAAAAACUCCUCUAUGAGUUUACUCUUGAAGAGUAAACUCCAUAUCCAAGCCUUAUGUGACUUCAAAUGCCACCCGGGUCCUUCCAAACACUUGUAAUGAGGUGUUUCCGCAACUAGAAGUGUUUAUCCCUAACAAAUAAAUUAAUCAAGUCCUAAUCGGAUACAAAUAUGUAUCUUUUCAUAAUUCAUAGGAACCUCAUGCAUUUGCAAACCCAGGACUGACGUUUAGCAUCCAAACCGACACAUUCCGCGAUUGGUGAGUUCAUACCCCUACGCCUUUUUCCGUUUUUUUCAAUGUUUUCAGGGGUGGGGGGGGGAAUACAAGCAAAAAUAUUAAAUGCUCUCAGAACAUAAAACUGAUAUAUUUCUAUAAGUAUCUGGCUAACCUUUAGAUAUCUUUACCCCUUAUUUAUUAUGCUUAGCAUAAGGGAUGUUUUAUCGAUUAUAACUACAUGGAUUUCAGUAAAGGAAACAAUCAAAUUAAUCAAAUUAUUAUGGGAAUAAUUUGGGAUCUUUAGUUCCUAUUUAACGAGUACAAAUUUAUGUAAAGUUAAUAGAUAAACUAUGUCUGAUUCAGUUUAUCUCCGUUUAAUUUAGAAUAUAUUGCCAGAUAAUUUCAUUGUAUUUAACUAUUUCUACUGUAUUAUUCUUUGAUACGGUUUGUAUGUCUGAUAACGUCUGAGAACCCAGUGAAUAACAUGAUUCUAGCUUGUGAGAUUCAUCAUCAUUAUCAGUAAAUCCUCCCCGGAAGUGUAACUAGAGUCUCCUGGAGGGAGAGCGAGGAAUUUGUGAAUAGAUUUAUUUGGGACUGACAAUCCCACACCUUAACUGCUAGCUACAGUUAGGCGGGCACGCCUGGGGUGACAAAUUUUGGAUAUCGUCCGACGUUUGACAAGCGUCAAGGAGGUCUCGUUGUCAUAUCAGCAUGGUUACCCGACUCACAAUACGUAUUAAUAUAAGUUUAUUCACGGAUUGAAUUUCAUAUCCACUUUCUAUCUAUACUUCCUAUAUCUAGUACGGGAGGAUAGUCCCAUGGUUUUCAAUCUAUAUUUAGUACGGGAGGAUAGUCCCAUGGUUUUGAAUCUAUAUUCAGUACGGGAUGAUAGUCCCAUGGUUUCAAUCCAUAUCUAGUACGGGAGGAUACUCCCAUGGUUUUGAAUCUAUAUUUAGUACGCGAUGAUAGUCCCAUGGUUUUCAAUCUAUAUCUAGUACGAGAGGAUAGUCCCUUGGUUUUCAAUCUAUAUCUAGUACGGGAUGAUAGUCUUAUGAUUUUAAUCUCUAUCUAUCUAUAGUUUUGUGUAUAUCAAACUAUCUUAUAACUGGUACGGGAUAGUAAUCCCAUGAUUUUCAGUAAAUAGUUUUAUGUGUAAAACUAUACAAUGUGGUCUUUAACUAAAGCUUUACUUGUAGGAAAAUGUAGGAUUUUCCUAGGAUAAUAAUUAUUCAGAAUCGUGUAAGAAAACAGAUAACUAAACUUUACAUAUAAGAAAAUAUGGGAUUUUCUUGGAUUCGUAAAUAUUUCGGAAAACGAAAGGAAACUUAAGCAUUUUCAGAAAAACAAACAUCUUAUGAACUCACCAUCUUUAUGUUGAUUUUCAAACUGCUUGUAUUCUUAGGUUCGCGUUAGACAGGUACCCAGCGAUCCUUUUGGAGAAGACGGAGCUCAUUGAAGAUCUCGUCUUAACUUUUGUUCAUAUAUACCAAUGUAUAACACUUGUGAUACUUUACUUUUGAACAAUUGUAAAUUUCAAUAUGUAAUGUAAUGGUUGUUUACUUUGCUUACUAUGUGCAUUGGAUUUGAUACUCAACGUGGAGUCUGCCCCGGAAAUGUUUCCGCCUUUGGUUUUUGGGGUGUGACAGAUUGGUAUCAGAGCCCUUGUUUAUAGUGAUCUAAGUAUACCAGACCUUACAUGGUAUAAAACUAUAAACACUAAACGACCUAAGUGCUCUGGACAAAAAGUAUACUUCAAAGUAUAAGUAUUUUCAAAAGUAUACAAGUAUACCUAACCGUCGAGAUCCGUAACUACAAGUAGAACAAAACAUAAGUAAAUGGGUGUUGUACGCUGUGCUUAAACUUGGGCAGUUAUGUAGUCGUGUCUAGGAUCAAUAUAGCCUGGCCAACUAUAUUCGUUCGAGACACGGCCAACAUGUGCUUGGGAGUGACUGUGGUGUGCGGCAUGCCUAAAACUUACCCAAUACCCAAAAAAAGAACCGUUUUCUCAGUGAAUCAUGAAAUACUAUGGGAGUAUUUAUCGAGCCAAAUUCUUUGUAGAAAUCCUAUUUCCAGCAUUGCUCCUCAAUCAUUCCUUUAGCGAUAAUCUAUCUGCUUUGAUAACUCUUUCAUGCUUUAUCGCUUAAUAGAAUUCUAUAUCUGUCCUAAUGAGAUAUCCCUUGUAUCAUAUCUCUUGAUUCAAUUCGGAGGACUUAUGAACCUCUCUUUCCUGAUCUUUUUAGAUCAAGAUGCCUCCAAGAAAAAGACCCAGUUCAAAGAAUAACAACAGCAACCCUCCGUCACCACCACCUCCUCCUCAAUUUGAUCUUGUAUCACUUCAGGCAGUUAUUACUGUCGCAAUGACAGCUAACAUGUCGCAAAUCAACCCCGGUAGUUCAGGAGGUGGUCCCCACCCACAAAACAGGGAAGUAGCCAGGGACACCAGAAGGCGUGUUCCUACAAAGAUUUUAUGAACGCGAAACCCACAUCCUUCGACGGCACUGGAGGUUUCAUUUCCCUAACUCGAUGGUUCGAGAAAAUCAAAUCUGUUUUCGAGAUUUGUGCUUGCUCUGAAUCAAAUAAAGUGAAGUUUGCCACUUGUACCUUCACCGAUAAAGCCUUGACUUGGUGGAACCGCCGAGUCAAAUCCUUAACUUUACCUGUAGCUAAUGCUAUGGGUAGGGAGGACAUGAAGGAUCUUCUUCUUGCCGAGUACUGCCCAUGGGGCCAGAUGUAAAAGUUAGAACAUGAACUAUGGAAUCUAAAGAUGCAAGGUUCCGACAUAGCCUCUUAUACUUCAAGGUUCGAUGACCUGGCGCUACUCUGCCCGGGAAUGGUUACCCCGGAGAGUAAAAAGAUUGAGAGAUUCAUCUGGGGGUUGACCCAGCCAACCAAGGGAAAUGUCUUGGCCACGAAGCCAGACACCUAUAACAGCGCCAAAUGUCUUGCGCAAAUCCUGAUCGAUCACGAAGAUAACCCCGAUGAGGAGACCACCGCUCCUGGGCUAACUAAGGGUAGUGGAGGAAGUAAAAAGGAAUUCUGGAACAAGCGGAAGGCCCAAAGUACACAGGGAGGGUAUUUUGUUAGAUUUGGGAAUUUAUGGAAAUGGAUCAUCAGUGGUUAUAGGUGUUGGUGUUUGGAGCAUGUUUCAGGAGUUUGAUAUUUCAGUUUCGAUCAACAUUGUGAGGCGAGUUUUCCUCACUUUGCUUAAGGGUCGAAGGCACCUAGGCGGCCCUUUGGAUUGUUAUCUUGCCUUGUUGUUAGUGUGAUCUGUUAGAUAGGUAUCCUGGAAUAUAGGAUGCUCUAUGUGGUUAUGAUUAGUUAGAUCAGUAUCCUCGUAUAUAGGAUGCUGCUAUGCUUAGUGAUAUGUAGAUCGGUUUGUCUGUCUGUAGACUAUUAUGUGAUUAGAUGAUGUAUGUGCACAUGAUUGAUUGAUGGUUGAGGCUUAUCUGCUUUGCACGAGAGCCAAUAGACCAAGGCAUUCCAACUCGAUGGUUGUUGACCAAGAUUAUUCCAUCUCGAGGAUGAUUGUGUUGGAUAAGGUGUCUAAGUCCAUAACUAUUUCUGGUCAGUACUUGACCCGACCCGACAUGGUCCAUUUGGGUUGCAUGGCAUCAUGCAAUUGGAUAGACUAAAUGAGAGAAAUAACACUUGGAGAUUAUUAAUAUAUUAUAAGUUCUAAUAUAUUAAUAAUAUUAUUUGAUUAGUUUGAUCAAGAAUUAAUUUAGAAUUAAUUAAGUGAUCAAAAGAUAACUAAUUAAAUAUAUGGGUUGAUUAUGUAAAUCAUCCAUAUCUUGUAUAGUGGGCUAAGAGGAUCCAUGGAUUAUCAAGUUGGGUUCCACCCAUAGGAUGCUCCAUGGAUGCUCCAUUGGAGUUACAAACCCAUGGGUCAUGGAAAUGAAGAGUCAUGACACAUUAGGGUUUACAUGGUGUAACCCUAGAUGUGUCAACACUAUAUAAGAGUCCCAUUCUCCACAAAAUUGGCUACACAAGUUGAACACUAAGAAACUAGAGGGCUUGGCCGAUUUUGAGAAGUGUGUGUUAUCUCAAGAGUCUUUCCAAGAGCAUUUGGUGUUGUGUGAAGCAUUUGAGGCAUCACACUUGGGGUGCUAGGCUCACAAGGUUUCAAGGAACACAAGCAACAACAAGGUAAGUUAUUCUAUCUAUGAUUCAAGUUAAAAUUGUUCCCCAUGUAUGCUAGAUAGGAAUAUAACCUUGGAAUUCAACUUUGCAUGAUAAUUAGACAAACAUAGAUCCAAGGUUAUUAGGGUUCCGUGUACACUUAAGAAGUGUUAGAAUGCUCAAAACCCAUCAGUGGUAUCAGAGCCUAGGCUUGCUUGUCUGAUUUUUGUGCAAACUACUUGAAAAAUCGAGUUUCCUGUUUUCUGCCCGUAUGAACUCGCUGAGUCCAUGACCAAAUGCAAGCUACUCGCCGAGUCAGUUCAUGCACUCGACGAGUUGAGGCUGCAGUUUUCAGAAUUUUGGUUCUUGUUGCUGGAAAUGGACUAGGAAUAUUACCCUAAACUAUUUUAGUGUUAUAAAACUUGUUUUACUUGGUGUAAUGUUCAUGUUAAUCCAUUUACAACAAGUUAUCAAAAUUACAAGUUUUUAAGUGUAAUUUUUGAUUCAUGAAAGUGUUCAUAUUCAUGUUCUUGAUCUUAUGAUGUUUAGAUGAUCAUAGGAAUUAUUUGUAACCUAUGUGGUAGUUUAAUUCUUGAUCAUUAUGUGUUUUAAUGGAGUCUAUAACUUGUCCUCAAGUUAUGGAAAACCAAAAGUCACUUUGCUUUAAAACAUUAAAAGAACACAUGGGUUAUAGAAUGAAGAGUCUUCAUUUUUAAUACCCUAAUAAACUCAUAAGUUACAAGAAAUGAAAAGUUUUGAAAGUUUACAAAACUUGCCCUCAAGUUUUGGAACAAGUAAAGUCAUGUUAAAACUUUAGUUCCAACCCUUAGAAUUUUAAAAGUUAAAAUUCAACCCUUAUACUUAUAAUAUUAUAAGUUAAUAAUAAUAUAUAUAUGUAUAAGAUCAAAGUCGUCUUACCGCUAGUACGCCUCAUUCACGAAGCUAGUCUAUAAGGUGGGUAUAAGGUUGUUGCCUAUAAAAUGGCAACUUAAUGGGUGUCCACUCUCACCCACCGCUUGCUUGACUGGUGGAGGGUCGUUAGCCGAACGGGUAAGACAAGGACUUAUAAAUUCUCAUUAAAAGUAUGAUGAAUAUUAUAAAGUAACUAAAUGUUUUAUUAAAUUCCCAAUCUUAGUUACUUUAGGAAAAAUGUGAAUAAGGUGCUAAUCCAUGAAAUUACACUUUACACUUUGUUUAAGUCGUUGGUGGAGCGUGUGUGGUUAACCGGCACACUAACUUGGACUUAACAAGGUAGGUAAAGGGUGACUUAAGGUUUAUUAUAGUAUCGGUGGAGCGUGUGUGGUUUACCGGCACAUCGAUUGAGUGAUAAACUUUAAGGGUACCAAGUGAUUUGCAUGGUUACUUCACACCUCGUUUUGUGAUCCUCGGUAUCCCAGUCACAAAACUUGGAGGGCACACUCGAGAUUGAAACAUGCCUUUGAAAAGUUCAUUGAAUCUCAAAGAAUCUAGGAAUUUCUAAGAACCAUUCAAAAACCUAAUACUAAAAUAUUGCGGUUUUCGUGGUGGAAAUUGGUGAAUCGUCAUUCACCUACCUUUCAAAUAUGAUAUAGCUUAGAUUACGGCAUACCUCUUCUAAGUUAUAUUAUAUUGUGAUUGGAUCCUAGCCUUAAUAUUACAUUUGGGUGUUUUAUUAAGGACUCUCUUAUAUCUAAACUAAUCUUGUUCUCUUUUUUUCAGAUGUCUUUCAACAAUGCUUCUGGCUCUAAUCCUAAUGGCUCCUUUACCCUUAUGAACUUGUGUGGGAAAGUCACCUUUGAUGGAUCCAACUUCAAUGAGUGGAUCAGAAACAUCAGGAUGAUUACCCGCUACGAGGACAAAGAAUAUGUCCUUGACAAGGAGCUUAAGGAGAUUGAUGAGUCCACUGCAACUCCUCAGGAGAUCGCUGAAUUUCGGGCACAUGAAAGGGAUGCUACGAAAGUGGCUUGCAUCAUGAUGGCCACGAUGACAGCGGAACUCCAAAAGUCUUAUGAGGAUUUCUACCCUUAUGAAAUGCACCAAGAUUUGAUGGAAAGAUACCAUCAAAGUGCAAGACAAGAGAGGUAUGAAAUCAUCUGCUCCAUGAUAACAACCAUGAUGAAGGACGGGGAAUCCGUCACGAGCCACAUGCAGAAAAUGCAAAGGUAUGUGGAUCGUUUGCUGAAGCUUAAUGUGAACUUCCCGGAGGAUCUUGCAAUAGAUAUUAUUUUGCAUUCCUUACCAUCGUGCUAUGAUCAAUUCCGCAUGACAUAUCACAUGAACAAGGAAGAAGUCACCCUCAGCAAACUUCAGGGACUUCUCAAGACCGCAGAAUCAGGUCUUAAGGGGAAGUCGGUUGCUAUCACUCCUACUCAAAACUCUACUCCGGUUUUGGCAAUCGGGAAAAGUCGAGGGAGGAAGAGAAAGAGCUCUUCUAAGGGUACCAAGGUUCGGACCCUUGAUGGCUCUUCUUCAAGUGGAACCAAGAAAGGUUUCAUUACUCCUUCUUCUGACCCAAAAGAGGCUGAAUGCUUCUAUUGCCAUGAAAAAGCUCAUUGGAAGCGGAACUGCCCAAAAUACCAGCAAGAUGUGAAGGAUGGGAAAGUUAAACCCAACCAUGCAGGUAUUUACACUAUCAUUUCUAAUAACUCACCCCAUUCUAAUUCUUGGGUCCUUGAUACCGGGUGUGGUAUUCACAUUUGUUGUGACUUGCAGGGACUAAGAAGAAGUGAGGAUGUGGAGCAAGGAAGGAUAAACUUGAUCAUGGGGAAUAGGAAAGCUAUACCUGUUACCAAGAUUGGAGUUUAUACUUUAUCGCUAAGUAGUGGGUUUAGUUUAGAUUUGAAUAAGUGUUGUUAUUCGCCAGGAAUGGCAAGAAAUAUUAUUUCCUUUCAUGCUUUGUACAAACAAGGGUUUACCUUUUCAUUUAAUAAUGAAGUUGGUUCUAUAGAUGUUUUCUAUAAUAAUGUCUUUUAUUUUAAAGCAUUACCUUGUGAUGGUGUGUAUGAAGCUGUAUCUGUUGUAGAUAACUUGGGAAAUAAUGUUUUGUGUAUUGAUUCUACUAAUAAUAACUUGGAUAAAGCAUCUUUAUGGCAUUGUCGUCUUGGACAUAUAAGCAAGAAACGCAUAGGCCAACUCCAAAAGGAUGGAGUCUUGGAGUCGUUUGACCUAAAGUCAGAUGAUAGUUGCGAAUCAUGCUUACUUGGAAAAAUGACAAAGUCACCCUUCACAGGUUCGUGUGAGAGGGGUGAAGGUUUGUUGGACCUUAUACACACGGAUGUGUGUGGACCAUUCAAACAUGCCACAAGGGAUGCUAAUCGUUAUUAUUUGACUUUUACUGAUGAUUAUAGUAGAUAUGGAUAUGUCUACUUGAUCAAGCAUAAGUCAGAGACUUUCGAGAGGUUUAAGGAAUUUAAACAGGAAGUCGAGAAUCAAUUGGGCAGGAACAUUAAGAUGCUUCGAUCCGAUCGUGGUGGUGAGUAUCUUAGUUCAGAGUUCCUCGACUAUCUAAGGGAAUGUGGGAUAGUCUCACAAUUGACACCUCCCAGGACACCACAGUUGAAUGGUGUGGCUGAGAGGCGUAAUCGAACCUUGUUAGAUAUGGUUCGUUCCAUGAUGAGUCGAGCUACGCUACCAAUCUCAUUCUGGGGGUAUGCCUUAGAGACUGCCGCCCAUAUUCUUAAUCUAGUCCCUACAAAGAAAGUUGCCAAAACUCCUCACGAGAUGUGGACUGGUAAAGUACCUAAACUAGACCACAUCAAGAUUUGGGGUUGCGAGGCUUUCGUGAGACGCGAGACUCAUGAUAAGCUCGAACCUCGAAGCGAGAGGUGUAUUUUCAUCGGUUACCCACAGCGAUCCUUUGGUUACCUCUUCUACAGACCUAGUGACAAUGUGGUCUUUGUAGCAAGAAGAGGAGUCUUUCGAGAAAGAGAGUUUAUAAGCCAAGGAGACAGUGGGAGGCAAAUUGAUCUUGAAGAAAUUCAAGAAUCAAGCGGUGAAGGAACUUCAAACUCUAGCCCUCAACUUGAGGAGGAAACUCCUGUUGAGCCAAUUGACAAAUCUGUACCUCUGAGACGUUCCACGAGAGUUAGGAGUGCACCUGAGCAUUACUAUGGAUUCCAUAUUACUGCAGAAGGUGAGACACUUAUUAGUGAUGAGACACUAGUAAGUCAAGAUGACCCUAACAGCUACGAGGAAGCCAUGGCAGGCCCCGAGUCUGCUAAAUGGAAAGAGGCUAUGGAUAGCGAGAUACAAUCCAUGUAUGACAAUCAAGUUUGGAACUUGGUUGAAAAUGUACCAGGUCGUAAGACAGUAGGGUGCAAAUGGGUCUUCAAGAAGAAGACCGACAUGGAUGGUAAAGUACACACUUAUAAGGCUAGACUGGUUGCAAAGGGCUUCUCUCAAAUUCCUGGAGUGGAUUAUGAUGAGACCUUUUCUCCGGUAGCCAAGAUUAAGUCUAUUCGGGUUCUGUUAGCCAUAGCUGCAUUUCAUGACUAUGAAAUAUGGCAGAUGGAUGUCAAAACCGCUUUCCUUAAUGGAAAGUUGGCUGAAGAUGUUUACAUGAGUCAGCCAGAGGGUUUUGUCAGCAACGAGUACCCUAAUAGAGUGUGUAAGCUUGAGAAAUCCAUUUAUGGAUUGAAGCAAGCACCUCGCAGAUGGAAUCUUUGCUUUGAUGAAAAGGUCAAGGAAUUUGGCUUUUCUAGGAGUGAAGAUGAAUCUUGUGUGUAUGUCAAGGCUAGUGGGAGUAUAGUUAGCUUUUUGGUAUUGUAUGUGGAUGACAUACUACUCAUAGGAAACGACAUUCCAACCCUGCAGGAAGUAAAGUCCUGGCUUGGGAAGUGUUUCGCUAUGAAGGACCUUGGUGAAGCUGCCUAUAUUCUAGGGAUAAGAAUCUUGAGAGAUCGGAGUAAAAGACUAAUUGGACUUAGUCAGAGUACCUACUUGGAUAAGGUGCUGAAGAGAUUCAGCAUGCAGGAUUCCAAGAAAGGAGAGUUACCCAUCCAGAGUAACACCAGAUUGAGUAAGACACAAAGCCCUAGCACUGAGGCUGAGAUAGCAGAAAUGAGUCGAACACCUUACGCUUCGGCUGUAGGAUCGAUCAUGUAUGCUAUGACGUGUACUCGACCCGAUGUAGCUUUUGCCUUGAGCAUGGUUAGCAGGUAUCAGGCGAACCCUGGCAAGGCACACUGGACUGCGGUAAAGAAUAUCCUCAAGUACCUACGGAGGACUAAGGACUGGGUCCUUACCCUCGGUGGGAGUGAUGACUUGAGAGUUGUAGGGUAUAGUGAUGCUAGCUUCCAGACUGAUAGGGAUAAUUUCCGCUCUCAGUCGGGCUGGGUCUUUACCCUAAACGGAGGAGCAAUUUCUUGGAAGAGUUCCAAGCAAGAGACAGUGGCAGAUUCUACUUGUGAAUCAGAGUAUAUUGCAGCUAGCGAAGCAGCAAAGGAGGCGAUAUGGCUGAAGAACUUCAUUGGAGACCUUGGAGUUGUACCAGCUAUUAAAGAGCCAAUGGAAAUUUUCUGUGAUAGUGAAAGUGCUGUUGCCUUAGCCAAGGAACCAAGGGAUCAUGGGAGAUCCAGACACAUCGACAGAAAAUACCAUUUCAUUAGACAUCGGAUCGAAGAAGGACUCCUCGUGGCAAAGAGGGUAUCAUCGGAUGAGAACCCAGCAGAUCCCCUCACGAAGGGACUGAGUAGGGUUAAGCAUCUCCAGCAUGCUCGGAGCAUAGGGCUGAAGGAUGAUAUAAGUUUUAGUAGUUAGAUAACCCAGAAAUUUGUAAAGUGUAAUUGACAUUUGAUGAUGAAUAAAAGGUGUUUUAUUUAUGAGUAAAGUGUUGCUAUCUCUUGUCAAUCGUUUACUAUAUUUCUUUUGCAUGUUUUGACUUCCAGAAUAAUUUUGUUUGGUGUAACAUAUUAUUCAAACCUCCACAGUCGGUCAUAUGUCGGAAGUAGGUAUGAAUCAAGACUGUCAUGAUGGGUUGUAGAGGUCUAAGGUGUUGGACAAGGCUACAACAAUCAUGAGUGCUCAUAAGUUCUGAGCAUUGGACUCAACCCACGCUCACUGGAAUCACUUCAUGGAAUUCUAUCUCGAGUGAUCGUGAGACGGUAAUAUCAUAUAAGUCUUCAAACCUAGAGAUAUGAUUUGUUACUUACAAGUUGGUUAUGCAUUGACUGUACGAAACCGCAUUGGUAACUCGAUGUUAUAAAACGUACUUUUGUGUGUAAUUCAAUGAGUGGUAGAACAAACAUAUGAGUCGAAGUUUAUCUGUUCCUUCUUGGAUUAGAAGCUGAUAUCUGGGCCCCUCGAUGAUUUUGUUUUGACCCAUGUACCGGGCCCGGUCAGAACUAAGUUGAUGUGUUCAAUUAAGUUCUAUGUCAAACAAAUCGGAAAUCGGGAAACAAAUGCUGGACAAUAAGCAAGACAAUGUUCCAUGUAUUUGUCCGGCUGAUAUCUAGAACGGAGGAUUAUAUGAUCACUUAUCUUAAAUGGCGUACCAUCAUCUUCUCAGUUCCGAGAGACCUUGAAAGAGCUACGAUUGCCGGUCGGUUCCUGAAGUACUAGAGAUAUAGUUAUUAGACUUAUCCAAGUGGGAGACUGUUGGAUAAGGUGUCUAAGUCCAUAACUAUUUCGGGCUUGUACUUGACCCGACCCGGCAUGGUCCAUUUGGGUUGCAUGGCACCAUGCAAUUGGAUAGACUAAAUGAGAGAAAUAACACUUGGAGAUUAUUAAUAUAUUAUAAGUUCUAAUAUAUUAAUAAUAUUAUUUGAUUAGUUGAUCAAAGAAUUAAUUUGGAAUUAAUUAAGUGAUCAAAGGAUAACUAAUUAAAUAUAUGGGUUGAUUAUGUAAAUCAUCCAUAUCUUGUAUAGUGGGCUAAGAGGCUCCAUGGAUUAUCAAGUUGGGUUCUACCCAUAGGAUGCUCCAUGGAUGCUCCAUGGGAGUUACAAACCCAUGGGUCAUGGAAAUGAAGAGUCAUGACACAUUAGGGUUUACAUGGUGUAACCCUAGAUGUGUCAACACUAUAUAAGAAUCAUAUUCUCCACCAAAAUCGGCUACACUAAGAAACUAGAGGGCUUGGCCGAUUUUGAGAAGUGUGUGUUAUCUCAAGAGUCUUUCCAAGAGCAUUUGGUGUUGUGUGAAGCAUUUGAGGCAUCACACUUGGGGUGCUAGGCUCACAAGGUUUCAAGGAACACAAGCAACAACAAGGUAGCUAUUCUAUCUUUCAUUCAAGUUAAAAAUUGUUCCCCAUGUAUGCUAGAUAUGAAUAUAACCUUGGAAUUCAACUUUGCAUGAUAAUUAGACAAACAUAGAUCCAAGGUUAUUAGGGUUGCAUGUACACUUAGGAAGUGUUAGAAUGCUCAAAACCCAUCACCAAAGCCUUCUGAAUUGCCUGCUCCAACGAAUUCACUUUCAAUGUUAGGAAUUCAGGAGUUAAAAUUGUCUAAGGAGUAGGCUUCGAGACAAUGCCCUUUAGUUCAGAUAAUAACUCAAUGAGCUUAGCGAACUGCUCUUUUCAUCUUUGUUCUUGGUUUCAAUAUUUGGCGCAGUUGAUUGAUAGUCUUUAACAAUUUUUGUGACUACGUCAGCCACGAUAUCAACACGGUGUUGCACUAUCGAAUUUUGCGAAGUAAUCUGUUGAAGCUCUUUUGCAAUCUCUUGCUUCAACUCUUCAACUUUCAAGUUCAUGUCCUCCCUUACUUUCUUGACAUCUUGUACAAAAAGAACAUGACGUCCUUUUGUGGCAUUUUUCAGUUCUUGUAAGGCACCUUCAAAGGUUUUCCCUUGAGCUUUAAACCGAAGCUCGUUCUUUUGAUCAUUACCAUCUAUCUUCUCAAGCAGUCUUCUUUCUGCUUCUUUUAUCAUCGCAUCAACCUCCAUACCAGAAAGCGAAUGCUUCGCACCAGAGUCAGCUUGUGACUGAAGGAUGGAAUUUAACUUGCGAUUCAGGAUUUUGAAUUGUUUACCCUACUUAAGCAUGUAGUCAGGUAUCUCCUCCUCCUCUGAAUCGAAAUGAAGUUCUUCAAAUGUUCCUCCGAAACCAUCUCCUUCGGUUUCAUCAUUAGAAUGAGCUUGAGAAGUUAUUGGUUGAGGAUCCUCAGGGGAUACUGUUGCUUAUGCUUAUGAUGCUGAAAUAACUGCUUUCGAUGAUACGGUUGCUUAUUUUAAUGCUGUUAUUGUGUCUGCUAGUACUGAGGCUCAAAAUUUAAAUACACAACUAGCUGAGACAUGAAGACAGUUAGACAUAAAACGAAGCAGGGUAGAUUAUCUUGAACAACAGAUGAAAAAUGUUAGUUGUGAUAGGGAUAGUCUAGAUAGAGAUGUUAGAUUGUUAUUAGCUCAACGAAACAUCUACUAUAAUUCUGCUAAGAGACUAUAUGCAAAGUUAACUGCUUUACAUCAAAAAAAAAAUUUAAUUUUUUUUUUAAUCAAAAUGAAAGACAAAGCAAAAGAAAAUCUUUUUGUUGUUUUUGUAUUUUUCGAAAAGAUUACAAACAAAUGAAAAUAUUUUUGGUUUUUCGUGUCUUCUCAAUGCUUUAAAGAAAAGAAGUAAAAUGAACUUAUGUUACCCAAUAUGCGAAAUCGAAGCAUAGCGAAGCCUCUUAAUGCACAGUAACUUCUGAAUGAUUCCGACUCAGAUCCGCUGAAUGAACGUUUCAUUACUAGACAAACUUCUUUCAUCCUUGAGUGAUAAUAUUUGGCACUGAAUUCGCAUCAAGCAUUCCUAAAACUGUUAAAAUUCUCACAAAUGAUUUUUCAUCAAGAGCUUUAGUAAAAAUAUCAGCAAGUUGUUCAGUGGUCUUAACAAAAUGUACUUCGAUAUUCCCAUCCUCUACAUGAUCUUCGAUAAAGUGAUAUCGAAGAGCAAUGUGUUUUGUCUUUGAGUGUUGUACGAGAUUGUGACAAAUGCGAAUCGCACUUUGAGAAUCACAGUACAAGGGAAUAUUUUUCAUAUUUAUAGCAUAAUCAUGAAGUUGACUUUGUAUCCAAAUAAUUUGAGGAGUACAGGCAGCAGCCGAAAUAUAUUCAGCUUCAGCAGUGGAGAUAGCAACAUAAGUUUGCUUCUUCGAUUUCCAACUCACCAGCUUCCCAUCCAAAAGUUGACAUCCACCACUUGUACUUUUUCAAUCCAAAGUAGACCCCCUAGGUUAGCAUCCGAAAAUUCUGGAAUGAAGAAUCCCGACUUCGAAGGAAGAUUAGAGUCCUAACGAAAUUGUCCCCUUAAGAUAGCGAAAAAUGUUUUUCACUGCAGUUAAGUGGGGAUCUCUGGGAUUUGCUUGGUACCUAGCACAAUUACAAACUGAAAACAUAAUAUCAGGCCUACUUGCAGUUAAGUACAAUAAAGACCCUAUCAUUCUUCGAUAAAGUGUUAGAUCAACAGCAGGAGCAUCUAAUGAAGGAGUUAGUCUUGUUCCCACUGCCAUUGGCACUCUAAGCUUUGUACUGUUCGUCAUUCCAAACUUCACGAGCAGAUUCUUCAUAUAUUUUUCUUGAUUGAUAAAAAUUCCAUCCCUAUUCUGUCUUAUAUUCAAACCAAGAAAAAUAUUUAUUUUUCCCAUCAUGCUCAUUUCGAAUUGACUUUUCAAAAGAUUUUCGAAUUCAGUAGACAAUUUAGGGUCAGUUGAGCCAAAAUUAAUAUCGUCAACAUAGAUUUGAACCAGCAUUAGAUGAUUACCCACUUUCUUUCGAAAUAGUGUGGGAUCAACUGAUCCUUGCUUAAAUUUUGAUUGUUUCAAGAAAUUGGUAAGAGUUGCAUACCAUGCUCUUGGUGCUUGUUUUAACCCAUAACUGCUUUGUCUAGAAUGUAAACAUGAUCAGGAUGUUCCUCCUUUACGAAGCCCGAUGGUUGUUCGACAUAGACUGUUUCUUCUAGCUCUACAUUCAAGAAUGCGCACUUAACGUCCAUUUGAUAAACAUCAAAAUUUUUGUGAACUGCAUAGGCUAAAAAUAUUCGAACUGCCUCGAGUCUUGCGACAGGGGCGAAGGUUUCUUCAUAGUCGAUUCCUUCUUGUUGCAAAUAGCCUUUUACUACAAGCCUAUCCUUGUUUCGAAUAAUAUUGCCAUCUUUGUCGGUUUUAAUUUUGAAAAUCCAUUUUAACCCGACAAUCAGAACAUCAGAAGGUUUAGGAAUAAAUCUCCAAACCUUGUUUCGUUUGAAUUCAGCCAGUUCGGAUUGCAUGGCAACAACCAAAUAUGAGUGUUCCAUUACGUUCUUUGGGAUGACUUUUUGUCCAUUUUUCCAUUGGUGGAUAUGUCGGAUCGAAGUCUAAUGGUGCAUCCUCAUACACCUCUACGUUUUCAGUUCUAGUAACUGAAAUAUUGUCAUCAAAUUCAUGCUCCCCCUCAACUGAAACUUCAAGCUCCCCCUCAACUUGAUUAUUAUCUUGAUGCUCCCCCUAAACAUGUUGAUCUACAUGUCCUUUCUCCCCCUCGAAAGUAUGCCCACCUUGAACACCGAUUUCAUCAGUCGUAUGCUCCCCCUCCAUACGAACUUCAGGCAUGCUUUCGAUACUACUUGAGUCAGAUGUACGAGUAGAGUCAUCAUUGUGUUUUGAGGAUUCUGGUGUAUGAUUAUCAGCAGCAUGCAUUUCAGCAUCGAUCGCCCUGUCAGGAAUACCAAAUAUUUAUUCAUAAUCAAAGUCAAUAGUAUUUUCAUUUUCGACUUGAUUAUUUGAAUGUGCGAUCUAUCUACUUAAGGAAAUAGUCAUCAAAGGUUAAGUUAAAAGUCUCUUCAACUUUUCAUGUUCAUUUGUUCAACUCUCUGUAUGCAAUAGAAUUAUGCGAAUAUCCUAAGAAUAUGCCUUCAUCAGCCUUUGCUUCGAACUUGGAAAGAUUAUCUUUUAAGUUCAUUAUUUAACACCUACAACCAAAAACAUGUAAAAAUUUUACAUUAGGUUUUCGAUUGUUAAGUAUUUCAUAUGGAUUAAUAUUGAAUCUUCGAUGAAUGAAUGAACAAUUCUGAGUAAAACACAUAGUUGACACAACUUCAGCCCAAAGAUAUUGAGGUAAGUUCGCAUAUGUCAACAUAGUCCUAGCCGCUUCACAUAGAGAUUUAUUCCUCCUUUUGAUCACACCAUUUUUUUUGGUGUGUAUGGUGAUGAGAAAUAAUGCGAAAUUCCUUUAGCUGUGAGAAGCGAUACCAACUUUUGAUUUUUAAACUCAUAACCAUUAUCGCUUUUGAUCCUUUGAACACUCUUUUUAUAACUCAUCUCAAUCUUCUUGAUAAAGUUGAUCAUCGUUUGAGAAACCUCAGAUUUUAACCUGAGAAAAAAUACCCAUGUAAAUCGAGAAAAAUCAUCAACAACAACUAAAAUGUCACGCUUUUUAUUGAGUGUCUCAACAAUCGUCGGUCCACAUAAGUUGAUGUGAAGAAGUUCCAACGGUUCCAUGAUAUUCUAAUCUAUAAUGAUUGGAUGUCCUUUUCUGUGUUGUUAUCCUUGUUCGCAAGUUGCACAUAAAGUAUCAUUAUCAAAUUUAAGUACAGGCAAACCUCGAACCAAAUCUUUAGUGACAAGUUUGUUAAUAUUAUGAAAGUUCAAGUGAGACAAUCUACGAUGCCAUAGCCAACUAACAUCAUUAGAAGCCUUCGACAAGAGACACACUGCUGGUUUGCCUACAAUCGGUUUGAUGUCGAGUGUGAACAUGUCUCCAUAUCUUUUUUAUUUGAGAAGCACUUCAUUUGUGCUCACUUUCGAUAUGAUGCUGCCUUCUUCGUUGAACACCACCUGAUUUCCAGUGCCCACAACAAGUUGCGAAACACUAAUCAAGUUAUGUUGAAGGCCUUCAACAUAAGCAACUCGAUUUACUGUGAAUUGCCCAUUCAUAACUUUUCCAUAGCCUUUCACUUGACACUUAUGAUUGUUGCCGAAUUUAAAUACUCCAGCAUUUUCCAAGCUUCUAUAAUCUCGCAAGUUCUCCUUUCUUCCAGUCAUGUGACGAGAGCAACCACUGUCAAUAUACCAUUUCGAAUCGUAUUGCUUAUCACACAUCACCUUGGUGGUCAUAGGAGACUUAUCAGUGGAUUUGGACAUGAAGCAAUGUCCAGAGAUUUCUUCUUCUUCUUCGCUAUUCUCCUUAAAACUAGCGAACAUCGCACCGUGUGUAGGGUGCCUCAUUUCUUCAUCAUCUGAACCCGAAGACCAGAUUUGGUAGGUUCCACUUUCAUCUUCGUCUAUCUCUCCCCUAGCAACCAACGAUAGCCCUUUUUCCUUUCCACGAACUUCCUCAAGCUUUUCAGCGUAGUAAGCUUCGUCUUUGACUUUGGAUUUCUUUUCAUCCUUCUUCCUCAACAUGCAUUCAGCUGCAAAGUGGUUAGCUCCAUUACAGUUAUGGCAAUUGACUCCUAAAUCACCUUUCAGCUUUUGCUCUGCCUUCGAUUCCUUCACAUUUUCAUCCACCUUCUCAUACUUCUCAUACUUCUUCUUCUCCUCUCCUUUAGCCUUUACUACAGCUUUCACAAAACCACUCUUCGCAUCUCCUUGCAUACCCUUCGGGUUGAAUGGCUUCUUAAAAAAUUUCUUUACUAUGUUGUUUGAGUAAAAUGAAACCGCCUCAUCAUCAGAAUUCAUCAGAAACUGUUGGGUCAAUAUUUUGGUUUAUACUUUUCUUUUCUAGGAAAUUGAUUUGUUAUGUAAUAUUGUAUAUGUGUUUACGGUCAGGAAGUGAUUUUACGACCGUAAACAGAGUUUAUGGCCGUAAACCCUGUUUACAGCCCAUGUUUCCCGUGUGUGUAUAUAUAGGGGUGAGGGUGUGAGGAAAAGAGGAUGAACACCAAGGAGAUUAAGUGUGUGCAUUUGAAGGUGUUCUAGAGAGAGAGAAAAGAGAGUGUGUGUUAGUGUGCGUGAAUCUUGUAUCCGGAUAUUCAGUCUAAUCAUAUCAUACAAGAUUCAUAUUAUUCUUCUUCUCCUUCUCUUCUAUUGGAUCUGACAUCAUCCGUUUGAUUGGGAUUCCGCACCAUCAAACGGAUCUGAUUGAUACACAAGCAGAUUGGGGACUUACAAAAACCCAUCAUCAUCCGAGCUUUCCUUUUCAACAGACUCAACUUCAUUCAUUUUCGACACCAACGCCAGUGGUCCACCCAAACUUUGUUUCGACUCUUCUAACAUUACAGCCACUUCGUUUUCGUGUGUCUUCAGUUGAUUGUAUAGAUCAUUCAGACUCAAAGUAUCAAAGCUCUGCUGAUUCUUUAUCAUCACUCACACUUCGCCAUUCUUUGCGAAGCCCCAUAAUGAAUGUAAGGUUGAAUUCCAUAAGAGACCUUGUGACACCAUAUCUGUUGCAUCGAUAAAUGAGUUCAUUCAGACGAUCAUAAUAGUUUUCAAUCGUCUCAACAUCCUUCUGUCUAAACUCCUUAAGCUCAACAAGACAUUGUUUAACAGAAUUGGCCUUUGUCUUUUCACUACCCUGGUAUUUUUCCUUCAAUGUGAUCCAGAUGUCUUUAGCUAUUUUACAACCACGAAUGUAGUUGUAAAAGAACAGGUGGCAAUGCACCUCUCAGCUCUCGCAUACAUCUCUUCUCAUUCUUUUUCAGACGAUCAAGUUGAUCAUUGACUUGAUUUGAAGUUCCAGAAUCUCCUAUUGUUUGAACAUUCGUAGGAGGUAGAACUAUUCCAUUGAUACAGUUCCAGAGCUCCUCAUCAAUCCCAUUCAGAUAAUCUUCCAUUCUGUCAUCCCAUUGAUCAUAAUAUUCCGGAAUCAACAUCGGAAUCUUAGUAGAUGAACCAAGCAAAUAAGAGUAUGAGGUCAUGGUGUUCAUGUUAAAGUUCGCAUUGUUGAACACGAGGACUUUGAUGAAAAACUUGAAAAACUUGAUGAAUUUGUGAAUUGAUCAAAUGAAUUGAUCACAAUUUGCUAAUCGAUUACUCGACUAAACAAUUCAGAUGCAUAAUCGAUUCAAAUCUGAAGAUCAAGAGAGAUUUUCAGAACAAAAAGCAUGGAAAUAUUUUGAAUAAACUCAUAACUCAAAAUGCAAAUGAUUGUAGAAUGAAAAUCAGAUCAACGCAGUUUGAAUCCUGCUCUAAUACCAAUUGAUGUGAAUUGUAAUCGAGAUUUAGAAAGAAAUCAUGAUCUAGAUGAAUGAGUAAUGAAUGAUAUGAACACCAAAUGUAAAUAUUAAUUAGCAAGUUUGUAUUGAACAAAGAAUUCUAAUACAAUACUGAUUCCAAAAUAAGCAGAAAGACUCGUGUCUCUACUUCUAUCCUCCUCCCCUAUUUAUAGGAAACAUGAGUGUACAAAAAUACUAAGUCUAGACAUUAGGCUUUGACAUAAAAAGACUUAGUAAAUAAAUACAUGCGAAAUAGAACAAAAAAUGCUUCGACUUUUACAACAAAAUGACUCAACAAGUAUUGCAUGCUAGUGUGCCUGCUUAGGAGAGAUGCCUUUAUGCCUGUUAUGUAAGUUGGUAGUGUUGCAUGCUUAUAAUUAGUGAUCUCCAGGAGUUGUGAGGAAGGAUUGCUUGAGUUCGAUGAUGCAUUUUGUGUUGUGGUUAAAGCACUUGGGGUUGUAUGCUAGCAUGGUUUCAUGUGUUGGUUUAGAUAGCCCGUUUAGGUUAUGUUCUGGUAGAGGUUGCUUGAUGUCUGAAUGCUGCUUGCUUUGUGCUUUUAGAGACUUCUGUUAAUAUCGACUAACUAUUAAUCGAAUACGUUAGGUUGCAUGUUACAGGGAUUAGAUAAGUUUAGAAGGUUAGAUUUAGCUCUAUUACGCAACUCUCGUUUGAGUCUAACCGUUGUAGGGUGGGAUCUUGCAGUCGAAGAAUUAUCUAGUGCACGUAGCAUGUAAUUGUAUUCGACAAGUAGUUAGUAGGUAUUUAGGGGGGGGGGGUUCCCUUUGCAGCUGAUGGCGGAAAGAGGAGUGAAGGGAAUCCUAGGAGAGCCUAGGGAUAUUUUUAGCGGUGAGUAUUCGCUGAAGAUCAGGUAUUUGGAAUUGGAUUGCUCGAUAGUUGAGUUGAGUAGCUACUAAGAAACUCUAGAACGAUUCUCGAGGAAAUUAUGGAUAGAUGUAGAAGGUAGUAUUGGGCCCGUACUACUGAAAGAAGAGGAUCCAUGCUCGAAUUGAGGAGAAUUCUAGGGGUUCUAAGUACCAGGUUGAGGGUAAAUAACAUGGUUUGGGUGCCAUGAUUCAUUGCAGAGUGUAUGUCCGUCUUUACAAGUUAUCCGAAUGCGGUUGUUGAGACUGAGAAUGGGCCUGGUGAUUGUUGGUCUAGAGGGCCAUGUCAGUCAGGUUUGAAUGGAGUAGGCCUUGCGAGAAAGAUGAGUUUAGGUCUCGAAGAAUUUGAUCAGUGAUGUGCUAGUUUGAGUCGUCGGACUCAAAAAGGAAGUGGAUGUGAUGAGCUGUUUGAGGAUUUGCAGCCUGAGUUGAGUUAUCGGCUGAUGGUUUAUGAUGUCAUUUUCUAUGACGAGAAUUAUAUUAUUCCAGUUUUUGCGUAUUGGAAGGAAGAGAGAGUGGGCUUCCAAUUUCAAAAUUGGGAAGUAGGCCCCAUGGGUUACCAGAUAGUUGUUGUAUUAGCACCAAAAGGGUUCUUAUGGUAUGACUGCCUUAAGGUAUUUUUUACGCCGUAAGAGAGUCAUUAUAGUGGGACUGUGACAGUGAGGUCUCCUAUUUCUAUGUCUAUUCUUGCGAUGGGGUGUUGGUUGAGGAUUCAAAGAUGAAGUGUGUGAUAGUCCAUUUAUUCUCAGAUAAGAGUCGUGCGAUUUUAGGACUGUCGAAAUAUCUGCUUGUGCAGUUUAAUAAGAUUCUUGGUGAUUGGAGGCAGUCAUGUUGGGAAGUUUCCAAGGUCUCCAUCUGAGAGUCGGAAUGCCUGGAGUUGACUGGUCUUUAUUUGGAAGGUCAUCGUAUGUUGCGUGGUACACUCCAAGCGUCAAGUAUGGUAUAUCUGGUGAGCCAGUUUGAAGUUCGGUCUUUUUGGAAUGCUAAUUGGCGGUAGUUUGAACCCUAACUGGGGGAGAACUGGGUAUUAUGUUGGAAGGGUCAUCGAUCUGUUCGAGUUGCGGCUUCAGAAUAUUGGGUUGUAGGGAUAUGUUGUCCGGGUUUAUGAGACUUGGGUCUGGAUGUGGUCAAGGCGAGGUGCAGAACAAGAUGAUGCUUGUUGUAUGUGCUCAGGAAUGAAUGAGUGUCUUCACGGCAGGUAGCCAUUGGUCAGGGAGCUCGUUAUGGUCAAUGUUUCUUUUGGGUUCGCCAAUGAUCGGGUUAUAAGGCGGUUGGGUCGUUGGGCCAAGUUUUGGUUGUUGAAAGAUUUGUCAGUUCGACCUAUAGAUUGCUAUCUAUACUCCAAGAAGAGUAGCGAUUGAUCUGUCAAUCAACUUCAAAGUUGGUAUGUGUAGUUUCACGUGGGUUUUUUUUCAGUAAAUAUUGGGGGUUUGGGUUGUCGUCAACGCAUUCUCAAUCAUUGAUUAAUUUCCGUUCGUCAUUAAUAAGUCAGAAUACUUUGAAGGUUUCGAGCUGCGUAAGUUGAAGAUCAGUGGUCAUGACAAGCUAUCGUUAAAUUAUGUGAUGGUGUAUCUUGGCUUCCGAGUAGGUUUCCCUAAAUUGCUGAAUUGUAGAAUUAUUAUAAGACUCAGGUUUAUUUUGGUAUUAAGUGGAGCAACAGAUCGACUAUCUACCUAUUGCAAUUGUGGGUUAAUCAGUUCUUUUUCUUCAGAUGGGGUUGUGCAAGGGUGUGGAAUUGUAUUGAGGGAAGGUGCUUUGGAUGUAGAAAUCUUCCUUGAGAGUAGUAAAGUGCUAAAUCUAGUUUGGGUAUGAGCACCUAUUAAUGUUUGGUCAUGGAGUAUUAAUUCAGUAAACUCAAUAUGGUGGUGGUUUGGUAAUGAGAUUAUGGGAUGGUUCAGUAAUCUAGUCGUUACGAGGUUGUAAGAGAGUGGAUGAAUACUAGUGGGGGUAAUCACAUGGGACUGUCGAGGGAUAGCUCAAAGUGUGAGCCAUUUAAGGGUUUGUACCCAUGAAGGAAUUUGAAUCGUUAUAUUUGGAGGGAACACCAAAUUUCCAUGCGGUCAGAAAGAAUCCAAGAUAUGUGUGGUCGUGAGUGAGGAGCAAGUUUCAGUUAGGCCAUUGGGACCUUAACCGGUUGAUCAGGUCCAUGGGGAUUACGGUUCGGGAUCUCUCAUAUUCUAAGUUGGAUAGCCUAAGAACUCCAUGUCUGAUGCCCGUUUGUGAUGUUCUUAUAUGAUGCUUCGCUCUCGGGUGGAUCAUCUAUUCGACCGUCUAUCUGACCUCUGACUACAUGCAGCAUCAUGACUGUCGUGGAAAGUUCGUGGGGCGAGCCCAUGGCAAGUGAGGGAGUGUUGUAAGACUGUAGGGUGUCGUAGCAUUCACUAGUCAGUGUCGGAGUGUUGUAAGACUGCAGGGUGCUGUAGCAUUCACUAGUCAGUGUGAGAGUGUUGUAAGACUGCGAGGUUCCGUAGCAUUCACUAGUCAGUGUGGAAGUGAUGUAAGACUGCAGGGUAGCUGUAGCAUCCACUAGGUUGGUAAGCGGUUGAUGGAGUGUGUGAAGUCUAUGAUUUGGCUCUUAGAACUCUCUAGGAUGAUUUGGGCCAUCUUAGACAUGGGUGUUGGGUUGUGGAAGAGCCACAACGUUCUUCGUUUUUGGAUAGAUCGUAGGCCGAUGUUGGGGCCGGAGGUGACUUGUGACUAUAGAUCGGUUUGUAGUAUUUGCUUAGAGUGAAGCAAAUUUAGUGAUUGCGCGUGCAAAGUGAUUGGUUGAGAUAGCUCUGUUGGAUUGAACGGUUGUUGGAGUCAUUUUGACGGAUGGGUUAGAGCAGCCUUUAUUGGUUUAACUUUUUGGUCGGGAGUUGAUCUUGUAUUCAGAGUUGGUGUUAAGCAUUGGAAAGUACUUGGGGCUUAUGUUUGCGGAUAUCAAUGGAUAGUUUUAGUCGGGCAUGGUCAUUCAGUUCGGGGUUCGGAGCCGAAUCAUCUUGGGUUUGGUAUUGGAAUGGUUAUGACUGUCGGGAAGUCAGAUAUAAUGUAGAGUUUUAGCUCCCAGGCAGAUCGGUAGGUUAUUCUUUUGGUGACUGAGGGAAAAGUAUUAAGGUUCAUUCUUCUGAUGGGUUUUGAUAGCAGUAUCGGUGGGUGCUAUUCGUUGCGAGAUGACCCCUCCGUUUCUUUUGGGUUUAAUUCAAGAUCGACUGGUGUGGCAGAAGAAGUUGAAAGGAACGAUUUUAAGGAUGGAAUCUAAUUUAAGUCGGGGAGAAUUGUAACAUCUUGUUUUGGAUUGUUAUGUGAUUUAAGCCUUGUGGGCCGUAAUUUGGGUAUGAGAAGGUUUUGAGUCUUUAAAGAAGAAAGGUUUAGACCCUUUUGGAUGUGGGUAAGGCAAGUUGUGUGAUAAAAGAGUUCGGUUUAUGCUUUAAAUCCCAAGGGUAUCGGUAAAGGCGUUGAUUCUGGACUUUCAUGAAUUUUGGAUCUGAGUUCGACUGGGUUUCAAGAAAAAUAAAGUUGAUAGAAGUGUAGGCCUUCUCGUUACCUUUUUGUGGAUAUAGGGAUCGUCAGAAACUGAUUUAUAACAAAGAAGUUAUGGCCUUCGGAAGUUUGGUGGUUUUCUUCAACUGGGUACACAGGGCAUACACAAAGGGUACGCGGGGCGUACUAGUGAAGAGAUCAGUACGCGGGUGCGUACCUUGGUGUACGCUUGACCUGGAUGGUCGUGAGUGCUCUUCGGAGUACGCUGGGCGUACUCCAAUCAGACCCAAACCCUAUUUUAGGGUUUUGGACCCUAUUUAAGCUCCCUAUCUCAUAACCUAACCUGAAUAUCUUCAGCCUCCAUCCCUCUAAACCCUAGAAAUCGACCCUUAGCCUCCAUUAGAGUGAUUCUUAAGCUUUUUGGUGAUUUAGUGGGUUUUUGGUGCUUAUUGUGGAAGAAGGAGUUUCUUGAGGAAGCACUGCUUGGCUUGGAGCUUGUGGAUCUAAGCCCUAAUCAUAUUGAUUUAGCUCCAUAAAGUAUAAAGUUUGAAUCUUGGUGGUUUUCUCUUAUGGAUCUAGUUGGGUUAUGACUUGUUAUGUUUGGCCCUUGACGAAGAAGGAACUUGGUGGUCAAGCUAUGAUUGGAGUAAAGCUUCUAGAUCCAGAACCUUCAUCAACUUUGCAAGCUACUAGAGGUAUAAAGUUUGUAUGUUGAUGAAUCAUGUGUUUGAUCUAGCUAGUUUCGGGUUAUAUGUACUUUUUUCCCAAAGCUUUAGUCUUUAUGAGUAUGGACUACUUUAGACCAUUUGAGUUGUCCUUUCUGAGGAUUUUGAGUGUUUUAAGUCAUAAAAAUGUGAUCUUGGUCCAUUCCUUCCAUCCAUGCAAAGGAUUAUGAAGUUUGGGUUUUUGUGUUAAAAGUUAGGGUUUCGGUUUGAGCACAUUUAGCCAUGACAAGGCAUAAAGUUGGGAACUUUAUGUUGUAUAAUGUCUUCUUGGACCAGAUUUGAGUGCUGAGUGAAAGGACUUAAGGAGUUAAGGACUAAAUGUGAGUUAUUAGCCUAUUUAUGGAGUUAGAGUGUUUGAAAUCAUGUUUGGUACCCUUUGAGCCAUACUAAGGCUUAAAGCCUUCGACUUUAUGGAUUAAUUCAUUAUUAUGGGAUUAUUUUGAGGUGUUGGACGUUGGACUUAAUGGAAUAAGUAAUUAGAGAAAGAAUUGGAAUUUCGUCAGGAACGUUGUGUGUAAUCCCUGGGAACGCAUCGCGUUCCGGGCUGAGUCUCUAUCAAGCUAUCCUGCGACAAACACCAUGCGUUCCGCCCAUGAACGAUGCUCGUUCGUCUGAUCAGUAGAGUUGCGGGCUUUGGACUUGGACUUGUUUUUCAGGUUGGGCUUUGCUAUUUUGGGCCUUGAUGGGCUUUCCUAAUUGGGUUGCCCUGUUGGGCCUAGAGAGUUAUUAAGUUGGGCCUAGUUUGGGUUGGGCCUUAGAGGGCCUGUUUAGAUUUGAACCUUGUACUUUGGGUAUAACCCUAAAUGUUAUUUGAGAAUGAUGUUGUUUGGCGUAGUAUGUGGAGCAGUUGUGCGGAGGACAUGAGAGUAGGAUUUGCUAUCCAUUGACUAAGGUGAUUCUUCUCACUAUACUUACCUGUGUGGUAAUUUAUGUGUGACCGGAGGGUUUUGUUCGUGUUAUUGACCGGAGGGUCUUAUUUGCUUAUACUGAGAUAUAUGUUAUUAUGCAUUCUGCCUUUGUGACUUAUGAUGUUGUAUUAUUCUAUAUAUACUGAGUUAUGACUGGAGGGUCCAUAGCAAGACGUGAGACCGAAGGGUCUUCACUGAGACACAUAACCGGAGGGUCCUUAUCAAGAUUUAGCCAUGAGAGGCUAAUUAAUUGUGUAUGUGGUAUUUUGGGGAACUCACUAAGCUCCGUGCUUACAGUAUUGAUUUAAAUGGGUUUUAGGUACUUUUGUAGAUUCCAGGAAGGCGGAGGCAUGAUUGUACACUUGGAUAAAUGAAUAAUGUUUGGUGAAUUAAAAAUGAAAAUUGUGUUUUGAAAUUUGAGGUGUUACAAUGUAUAAUUAUAAAGUAGUAAUUUAAGUAUGCUAAUUUCCGAAUAAAAGUAGCUCGUAUUUCGAUUUUCAUAUAAAUACUUGAAGUGUAUUUACAAUAGAUCUUAGUGAUCUAUAUGCCAAAAGAAACUAGUCCAAGAUGGUGGUCAACAACAAGUACCUAAUAUUUACAUACCGGAUAAAAGCUUAUACUCGUAAUCCUCUUUCUCUUUAAGUCUUUAAUAUUUGUAUCUUAAAAAAGCACAUUUCCUGUAGGCUUUCAUAUCUUCNAAAAAAAAAAAAAAAAAAAAAAAAAAAAAAAAAAAAAAAAAAAACCUGAAUAUCCUUCAUGAUAUAUCUAUUAACCUUUUGCAGUGGCAAAGAACAUAUGAAUAUAUAUGUAUAGUACAAAACUAAAAAUCCAUCACAAAUGUAACUAAUAAGUAAUAGUAACAUAUAUGAAGAUGCUUUACAUCAAAAGAAGCCAACCCCGGAUCAGCAUGCGUUAAAUCCUACUACAUAGCUAAUUCGAACCCUUAUGAACCCUAAUAAAAAUAAUUUACAUAAAUGAAAGCAUCAAUGACCUAUAAUUGUAAGAAACAAGAAAAGCAACAAAAACAAUAAAAUCACAGAUGCGAAAACUAAAAGAGCAAAAACUAAAUAAAUGUAACAUCCCAUUUUUCAGGUAUGAGAUUUAUUAUUAUUAAAAGCUAAGUUUUCCUUGGAACUCGUCGAGUUGAUGGCCUCAACUCAACAUGUUGAAGAGCUUUGGGUCAUGAAUAUUUUUGGACCAACUCGAAGAGUUAGAGAGGCAAACUCGACGAGUUGGUGGCUAAUUAAGAAACCCUAAUUUUUAGGGUGUUGCACCCUAUUUAAAGGCCUUAUGCCCUUUUGGCAGCCUCCUUACCAGUCUCCUUUGUCCAGAAACCCUAGUUCGUGUAUCCUCUCUCAUAUUUGUGUGUGUAGGAGCUUAAAGGGUGAUUUAUUAGUGUUAUUUUUAAGGAGCUUGAAGUUCGAGGUGGUUUGAGUGAAAGGAAGGCUAUAGAUUCAGAACCCACUCUAUUGUUGCAGUCAUUUUGAGGUAUAAAUUCGACACCUUGCUUAUCUAUUGCUUAGAUGUCUUCCUUGGGAGUCUAUUGUCAUAUUUGGCUAAUUUUUAGGAUUGUUCAUGGGUUGAGUAUUUCAUGAAGAUAUCAUUUCAGAUCUGGACAUUUUAUGGUCUCAUUGGACUUAAAGUUUCAAGCUUUAUCAAGUUCUAGGCCUCCUUCAUGCUUUAGGUCCCUUAUUAAGCCUUCCUUGAGUUUUGGAGCCUCUUUGUGACAUGCAUUGACGUAAAGUUUGCAACUUUAUGUGGUUUUUCAGCUCCUGGGUAUCAGAUCUGUAUUUUAAAGCCUCAGACUUGAUGAAAAAGGACUGAAUGUGUUAAGCUGGGAAAGCUCGGUGAGUGUUCCAGCCAACUCGACAAGUUGGCUAGGGUUUUGCCGAUUCUAUGAAUACUGUAGGAACUCGACGAGUUGGUAGGUGCACUCGAUGAGUCAGGUCAACAUGGACUGUUGACCUGGACUGUUUACUUUGACCAUGGUUGACCAAGUUUGACUCUUGAGGGCAUUUUGGGUAUUUUGGGGUUUUGAUGGGUUAGUCACAUUGUGGUUGUAGGCAUUUGAGUUCGGAGCUAAGUUUCAGAGUUGGAUUUUACCAGUUCAACACUAUUUGUGAGGUCAGUGUUCCUCACUUUACUUGUUGGGUCGAAGGCACCAAGGCUGACCCGUUUGGAUUGUUAUCCUGAUUAUUGCAUGAUUAAGUAUUGUAGUGAUUAAAUAUGUAUCCUAGUAAGAGGAUAAUGCUAUGCUUAGUGAUCUGUAAGAUCUGCCUGUUUGUCUAUUGACUGGUUAUAUGUUUAAUUGUUAUGUAUAUGUAGACAUGUUAUGCACGGUUGGAUUGAGGCGGUCCUACUUUAUGCUGAAGGCCAACAGAUCCUGGGCAUCCCGGAUAGACUGAAGGCCAGUGGGGUGUACCAGUCAAGCCGAAGGCCCGAAAAACGUUCCAAAUAGGUUGAUGGCCCGAGGUGGCAUACCAAUCAUGUUGUAGGUUCUAUGAGCGUACCAAAUAGACUGUAGGCCGGUAGGGGCGUUCAAGUUAGACUAAAGGCUCUGAAUGCAUGAUGUUUAUGAUAUUAUCCUAGUUUUUGUAUUAUGUUGGUAUUUUGGGGGAAGUCACUAAGCUUCGGGCUUACGAUUUUGGAUUAUGUUUCAGGUACCUCAGAGGAUCGCAGGAAGGCGAAGGUGAUGGCUUUUGAGCACUACAUCAAUCCUAUGGUUUACAUGCAAACCCUAAUAGCUUUGGAUAUAGUUUUGUCUAAUGAACACACAAUUGAUAAUCCAAAGCCAUAAACCCUAGAUCUAAUAAACUAUUACUGAAAUUAGGGUUUAGAUCUUAUCUUUGAUUGUUAUAUAGCAAUAACAAUAAAUCCUUGGCUUCACACAGCUUAGUGCCUCAAGUGUUGCACCUCUAAUGGAGUCACAAACACCACUAAGCAACUUGGAUGAAGAGGGAGGAGAGAGGAGGCACCAAAAAUGGCUGGAAACCCUAAAGGAAGUAUCCACCACGUUUUUGGGGCCAUAAGGGUUCCUUAUAUAUGCUGGCUAUUAGGGUUUACAGCUAGGAAACCCUAAUCUGACUGCUUAAACCCUAAGCAGCCCAUGGACUCCCUCUUUAGAAGCCUUGGAUGAUUUCUAAUGGGUUUCCCCUUAUAAUUCAUCCACUCCAACUUCUAUGGAGUCCAUUAGCCCAUCUAUGUAAUUAUCUUAUAAUUACACAAUAAGUCCCUUAAGUUUAAUUAAUCUCCUUUAGCCAUAAAAUUAAUUUUUAAUUAAUUCUUGAGUAAUAUUAAUUAAACAAUAUGAUUUCUCCUUUAAUAUAUUAUUCUUAUAAUAUAUUAAUAAAUCAUAAUUAAACCUUUCUCUCCUUAAUUCAUCCUACAUAUUUCUAUGGUGAAGGCAACCCAAAAGGAUCAUGCUCAUAAUCGGGUCAAGUACAUACCAAAAUAGUUAUGGACCUAGACACUAAUCCAACAGUCUCCCACUUGAAUAAGUCUAACAACUAUUUUGCAUAACUUCAGAACUGGAUCAGCAAUCGUAGCUUUCAAAAGUCGUAGUCAACUCUGAUCUUAUCAGAUAGCGUGUCCUUUAGAUAAGGGAUCAUAUAUUCCUCCAUUCUCAAAAUAUCUUAUAGACACAAGACAUGAAUUUCGAUCAUUCUCUCUAUACUGUUUCCCGACUUCCGAUUUAUGACAACUGACAGCAGACUACAAUUGAACACAUUAACUUAGUCCCGGCUUGGCCAAGUGCUUAGGGUGUCAUCACUAAAUCAUCGAGUGGCCCACAUAUAUCAUUUUUAUCCCACUUUGGGUAAAAGUGUUGGUUUUUGAGCAUUCUAACACUCCUAAGUGUACAUGCAACCCUAAAUACCUUGGAUCUAUGUUUUCUCUAUUAUACAUGCAAAUAAGAACUUCCAAGGUAUUAUCCUAAUCUAGCAUACAAAAACAAUGAAUGUAACAAGAUAGAAUACAUACCUCUUUGAUGUAGAAAGUCUUCAUGAAGCUUGAGUGCCUAGCCCCAAUAGUGUGGAAGCCUCAAAUGGAAUCACAAUCACCAAAACACUUAGAAUAACUUGAGAGAAUUCUACAACUCAUGAAAUCGGCUAGCCCUUUCACUUCACACUCUAGUGGCCGAUUUUGGUCAAGAAUAAGAUGCUUAUAUAGUUAGGGUUACACCAUGUAAACCCUAAUUGACAUGGCCUUUCAUUUCCAUGAUCCAUGGGUACAAAUACACCAUGGAGCAUCCAUGGACCAUCCUAUGGGUUUUAGCCCAACUUGAUUAUCCAUGGAGCAUUAGCCCACUAUACAAGUAUGGAUGAUUUACACAAUCAACCCAUAUAUUUAAUUAGUCUUCUUUUGAUCACUUAAUUAAUCCUAGAUUAAUUCUUGAUCAAUACUAAUUAAAUAAUCUUAUUAUUCUUAUUAUUAAUAUACUAGAACUUAUAAUAUAUUAAUAACCAUAAGUGUCUUAUUUCUCUCAUUAUAGUCUAUCCAAGUGCAUGAUGGUAUGCAACCCAAAUGGACCAUGCCGGGUCGGGUCAAGUCUUACCAAUUAUAGUUAUGGACUUAGACAUUAAUCCAACAGUCUCCCACUUGGAUAAGUCUAAAACUAUUAUUGCGUAUGACUUCAGGAACCAACUGGCAAUCGUAGCUCUCAAAAGCUUCUGUCGAACUCUGACCUUGUAGAUGAACUCUGACCUUUGUCAAUGACUUGUCCAUUAGAUAAGGGAUCAUAUAUUCCUCCAUUCUAGAUAUCAUAUGGACUGAGACAUGGAUUAUAAUCAUUCUCUCUGUCCAUUUGUUGUUUCCCGAUUUCCGAUUUAUGACGACUGACUAAUUGAACAAAUCAAAUCAGUCCUGGCCCGGCCGAGCACUUCCAUUUGUCAUCAUCAAAUCAUCGAGGGGCCCACAGAUAUCGCUUUUAUCCCGAAGGUAAAAGGAAUGGAUAAACUUCGACUCAUAUGGCUUGUUCUACUACUUGUUGAAUCAUACACAAAGGCACGUUUUAUAGCACCGAGUUACCAAAUGCGUUUUCGUGCAAUCAAUGUACUAUCAACUCAUAGUAACAACUCAUAUCUCUAGGUUUGAAGAAUAUAAGAUAUUAUCGUCUCAUGAUCACUCGUGAUAAAAUCCAUGAAGUGAUUCCAAUGAGCGCGGGUUGAAUCCAAUACUCAGAACUUAUGAGCACUCAUGAGUGUUGUAGCCCUUUGUCCAACACCUUAGACCUCUACAAGCCAACCCAUGACAGUCUUAAUUCAUAUCUACUUCCAACAUAUGACCGACUGUGGAUGGUUUGAAUAACUUAGUCAUUCCGGAAGAAUAACCCAGUUUAUUCGGGAAGUCAAAACAUGCAAAAUGAAACACAAUAAUAAUUGAAUCCAAUAUGGUAUCAACCCUUUGAACAUAAAUAAAACACCUUUUAUUUAUCACCAUAUGAUUACACAUUAUUCAUUGUAUACUGUUUCAGCUAUCAACUUUAUUCUUGAAUUUAAAACAAUAGUUGUCCCAUGCUCCAAGCAUGUACACUAUGUUUUCUUAAACACUAGUCAUGCCACACACCAAGUAUGCAUACUAUGUUUGUCUAUGAUCUUUACUUUGUGAACUAGAUCAAUUGAACAUAACUUCAAUGAUUCUCUUUUCACACUCCCAAAUCCUUACUGCAAAUGCAAGAAUUCCAAAUUCAUGCCAUUUACUGAAAUCUGUUAGAUUCUAAACUUAUAUGCAUUGAUCCUCUUGUAAUGAUUAUGCACAAAGUCACAAAGACUUGGCAACAAUCAUUACAGAGUAUUCCAAAGGAGAUCAACUCCUUGGAAAUAUCCUUCUUGCAUUAAGUUUCCUUAAUCUUACACAGAUUGAAAAUUCUAACUUUGAAACAUUUCCAGAUUCCAUUUUGACUAUCACUUCUGAACAAGAGUUGCCUCCUUACAGAUUAUGUCAAUAUGGUCCUUCCAGAAUUAUCACUAUACUUCCAAUUGUCCUUGAGUAACCAAUCUUUGGUAAACCUUAGAUUGUCCUCGACAAUUGUUUAAUCCUUUUAGUCAUAUCCAGUUCUAAACCUUUUCCCUUCUUAAUGCCCCAGGCAUUUGGAAAAUUUUAGAACGGAUGAAUAUAGCACAUGUAAUCGAUCCUAUAUCCGAAGCAUAUGGGACACGAUUCAUGAUGUCUUACAUAAAGACUAAACCAGUCUUUUGCUAUAAUAUUUCCAUUUCAAUUUGCCAAGUUCUCAUAAUUCAGAUUAUGAAAAGGGAUGCCGUAAUCAUAAUCGAAUUUUAGAACGCAAAUAAUGGACCCAUAUACAGAAUUUCCUUAUGUUGAGCCAUUCCAACAUGAAAUUCAUAUAUAUCCUUGACUAAAUGAUUAAAACCUCACGAUCUAAGCUUAUAGAUUUGAGAUGAAGCAUAAUUUCCUCUCCCUUAAUUAUAGCAAAACAACUUUUUCCCAAUUGAAACUUUUGUUUUCUAUAAUUAACAUUGCUAACUUGCAAUACUUAUCAUAAUUAUCAUGCUCCCACUAACAUGAUGAUUAUUAGCAUAACACUUAUGCUCCCACUAGCUUUGACAUGUACUCAGAAAUCAGCUGGACAGUCUGAAAUUUAGAUUCAUACACCCUUUCCGUAGAUAGCUCACCUGUGUGUCUAAGCAAUUUCAAGAACCAUGAAAAGGGAUACCGUAAUCAUGGUCUCAAUUGCUUAGGCAUUUGCCAUUUCUCACAAGUCCAUGUUAGUGUGCCGGUUAACCACACGCGCUCCACUAACGACUUUUGAAAAUGCAAAUAACACAAUUGAUAUCUUCGUAAAAUCUACUUAGUGAAAGCGUUUCCUCACCAUCAUUUUCAUGAAUCGGAGAGAAACCUUAUGACACUUAGAUUUAUAUGGUGUAUGAGUUCCUACCCAUAUGAAUUUGUCAAACCAUAAUCACAAGACAAAGAUAAUGACAAAUCCAAAACCAUAUGGAUUGAACUCAAUCUUAACUUCUUGCCACCUGGCAGCUCAAGGGCCUGCCAUUGCUUCCAAGUUGUUAUGCAACAAACUGAGAACUCUAAGAACUCAUAUGCAAAGCCAACUUUAACUGGAAUGGGCACAGAUAUGUCAACACGAUAGGUUAUAAACCUCAAGUCGUGUGCUAGUGAAGAACUUUAGGUUUUAUUCUUGAUUAUUUCUUGAGACUUUCAAGACCUUUAAGACUCCCACUGUCCUCUUGACAUAUAAGACUCCCUUGUCAAACAUCCAAGAGAUAGUGCGGAUUCUAAUCAAGAAAAACACUUUACCCAAUUGGCCUAAGUUGGUCUUUGUUUUAUCCAAAACAUCACAACUUACCAAUUUCAAAUGUACAAGAGUAGAAAACUUUUACUCUUACAUUUGACAAGUGUUUUAAACCUUCUUUAAGACAUGUCACUCAAAUGACAAUCUUGGAGUAUGACUCUAAGACUUGUAUUGGAACGAAGUAUGACUCAUCUUCUUGAUUUAACCAUUUCAACAAUUCAAGUUCCUCUUCUUAGUCAUAAGAAUGCACUAAGAUUUCCUUAGAGAACUAAUUUUGAUAUGGUUUCUUAAUCAUUAAGAUGAUCACAAAACUGAUACUAAAGUACUCUCCCAUCUUUUCAGAUUUGAGAAACUUUUAUCCUUCUGCCUUAUUUGAUUCUUCUUAUCGAUCUUUAGUGGUGGACUUAAUCAGUGCACAAGAAUGUGUACUCGAUCCCUAAGUCCUUUACUUGACUCACACAUCCAUGUGAACAAGUAAUUAGUCUUAAUUUUCCAAAACUUGAAAGUUCUCAUUCAUCAUGCUAUACAACUUGCAUGAUUCCAAGUUCCGGUCCAAUUGAAACUUGGGUGAUGAGAAUCUUUCCUUAUUUGGUAAAUUUAGACAUUACCACAAAUGAAAGAAUCAAUUUCAUAUUUCCACUCUUGCUCUUAAUGGAAUCAUAUAAGCAACAAUUUUUCCUCAAAUGCCAUUGUAAGGAUAUUUUAAAAUAAAUAAAAUCAAAAAAAUUUUCUUUUAUUUUAAAACUUUGCGGAAAAACUUAUCCUUACAAUCCAUAUGAAAACUUGUUGUUAUCUAUUCCUAAGCAAUAUCUCAUAACUCCUAAGAAGUAGCUCAAGAAUCCGAUCUUCAAACUAUGCGAUAGAAAUCCAUCUACGCCAUCAGAUUCAGCAUAUUCUUUCUUUAAGUUUCUUCACUUUUCUUUGAUUCUUAAAACAUCACCAUGUGACCCAGUCACAUCAUGUAUCAAGAAUCUCAGAAUAGAAACUUAACAGAGUUAGAUAGUGGACUUUACCUGAAGUAGAGUCAAACUUAUUGACUUUAACAUCCUUAGGUAAAUUUGGCAGCUUCGCAACCAAUGCCCCUUCCUUUGGCAAUAUAAACAUAUGGACCCUUUGAUAAUGGUACACGGGACUAUCACAGACUUAGCUUUUCUCUUUACCAUUUGGUCAACCGAGUUGACUAUGGCCGAUCCCUUUCCAUUGGGAAGAGAAUGCUUUACUGGAUAUCCAAUGUCAUCAUUGUCAAUGUCCAUAAAGUUUUAGGAAGUUGAUCUUAGCAAAUAGAUAAGAUCAUUAAGGGUCUUGUCAUAGUCUGUUUCAUAGGUGUCCCAAAGGAACUCACUAUGUGACUUAGAAAGUGGUUGAACCACCAACUUUCUCAAGACUUUGACACCCAACUCUCCCGGCUUGUCAAUAUGUGACUACAUCUCCAAGAUGUGACCACACCUAGACCUUGCCUUGCCAAUAGGGCCUGAGUGACCUUAAACUUUUCAAGAACUUGUGGGUUAGGGAGAAUAAUUUGAAGAGGUGAAGAAGUAUGAUAUCCAUGGGACAUCAUCUUCAUUAGGAAACCUUGUUUCAAGAGAUUUGGGAAGAUCAUAGGUGUCUAAACCAGACAUCUUUUGGGAGAUAUUCAAGAUAGUUGAUUUAAAGUCCUUAAUAUGACACCCAAUAUGAAAUAUUAAGGCUAGGACCCAACAAACUAUUUUAUAACUUAGAAGAGGUAUGCCGUAAUCCAAGCUAUAAAAUAUUUGAAGGUAGGUGAAUGACGAUUCACCAAUUUCCACCAAGAUAAACGAAAUGUAUUAUUAGGUUUUAAUUGGUUUUGAAACUCCUAGAUCUUUGAGAUUCAUUGAACUUUUCAAAGGCAUGUUUCAAUCUCGAGUGUGCCCUUCAGGUUUUGUGACUGGGAUGCCGAGGAUCACAAAACAAGGUGUGAAGUAACCAUGCAAAUCACUUGGUACCCUUAAUAAAUUACCCCUCAAUCGAUGUGCCGGUUAACCACACACGCUCCAUCGAUACUAUGAUAAAUAUUAAGUCACCCUUUACCUACCUUGUUAAGUCCAAGUUAGUGUGCCGGUUAACCACACACGCUCCACUAACGACUUAGACAAAGUGUAAAGUGUAAUUUCAUGGAUUAGCACCUUAUUCACAUUUUUCCUAAGUAACUAAGAUUGGGUAUUAUUAAGAGUUUAGUUACUUAGUAUUAUCAUUAAUACUUUUAAUGAAGGGAGAAUUCUAGUCCUGUCAAACCCGUUCGGCUAACGACCCUCCACCAGUCAAGCAAGCGGUGGGUGAGAGUGGACACCCAUUAAGUUGCCAUUUUAUAGGCAACAACCUUAUACCCACCUUAUAGACCGGCUUCGUGAAUGAGGCGUACUAGCGGUAAGACUGACUUUACUCUUAUACAUAUAUAUAUUAUUAACUUAUAAUAUUAUAAAGUAUAAGGGUUGAAUUUUAACUUUUAAAAUUCUAAGGGCUAACUUGGAAUUAAAGUAUUCAUACUUGAAAACUUUUCAAAUUCCAAAACUUGAGGGCAAGUUUUGAAACUAUUCAAAACUAAUUAAUUCCAUAACUUAUGUGUUUAAAGUAGUUUUAAUCCAAAAACUCUUCAAGUUCCAUAACUUGAGGACAAGUUAUGGAAGACUUUAAACUAAUAAAAGAACUAACUUUUUCUUUAUUUUAUAACUUAUGGAUUUAAUUAUGGUUACAUAUUUUUCUUUAAUGAAGUGACUCUUGAACUUCCAUAACUUGAGGACAAGUUAUGGAGUCAAAAAAAAUUAUUCAAUGACACAAGACUCUUCAUUUUGUAACCAUUGCCAACUAUUAUGAGUUUUAUGAGUCUUUAAUGUGACUCUUCAUGUAACUUGAGGACAAGUUACACAAACACAUUUUAUACUCAACUCUUAGAUUAAAAUGGAUUGAAAACAACUAUUUCACUCAACAUUUCUAUUAAUCUAAGCAACUCAUAAGAACAAGAUAAUUCAAAUCAAACUUUUUCAUGUAAUUAGUCUAAACCUUAAACUAAUACAAAACAUGAAUCUAUUGACAAUUAUCUUUGAAAAUGGAUUAGCAUGAACAUUACCACAUCAAAAACAAGUUUAUAAGUUCAAAAACAACUUAGGGUAAUGUUCCUAGUCCAUUUCUAGCCAAAAAACUCGAAAAUAUGCUGUCUGGGGGUCCAACUCGUCGAGUGCAUGAACAAACUCGGCGAGUUGGAUCGAAUUCAUCACUUUUUAGGCAUGGACUCGUCGAGUCUCCUGAUGGACUCGCCGAGUCUGAUGGCCAGACAGCACCAGAUUCGUUUUUUCAGCUUCUAUUGCAGGUAUAACAAGAAAACAAGCCUAGGCUCUGAUACCACUGUUGGGUUUUGAGCAUUCUAACACUCCUAAGUGUACAUGCAACCCUAAAUACCUUGGAUCUAUGUUUUCUCUAUUAUACAUGCAAAUAAGAACUUCCAAGGUAUUAUCCUAAUCUAGCAUACAAAAACAAUGAAUGUAACAAGAUAGAAUACAUACCUCUUUGAUGUAGAAAGUCUUCAUGAAGCUUGAGUGCCUAGUGCCCCAAGUGUGACACCUCAAAUGGAAUCACAAUCAUCAAAACACUUGGAAUGAUUUGAGAGAAUUCUACACUCUUCAAAAUCGGCUAGCCCUUUCUUCACUAUCUCUAGUGGCCGAUUUUUCCUCAAUAAUAAGAUGCUUAUAUAGUUACACAAUUAGGGUAAACUCUUAAUUGUCAUGGCUUUCCAUUUCCCAGGAUCCAUGGGUACAAAUACACCAUGGAGCAUCCAUGGACCAUCCUAUGGGUUUUAGCCCAACUUGAUUAUCCAUGGAGCAUUAGCCCACUAUACAAGUAUGGAUGAUUUACACAAUCAACCCAUAUAUUUAAUCAGUCUUCUUUUGAUCACUUAAUUAAUCCUAGAUUAAUUCUUGAUCAAUACUAAUUAAAUAAUCUUAUUAUUCUUAUUAUUAAUAUACUAGAACUUAUAAUAUAUUAAUAACCAUAAGUGUCUUAUUUCUCUCAUUAUAGUCUAUCCAAGUGCAUGAUGGUAUGCAACCCAAAUGGACCAUGUCGGGUCGGGUCAAGUCUUACCAAUUAUAGUUAUGGACUUAGACAUUAAUCCAACAAAAAGGAAUGGAUAAACUUUGACUCAAAUGCUCACUUGCACCUACUGAUCGAAUCACAUACAACGAUAAGUUUUAUAACACCAAGUUACUGGUGCGUUUACUUAUCAUCAAUGUGCAACCGCCCGGAAAAUAACAACUCACACGUCUCGGUUUCAAGAAUAUGCAAUAUUAUCGUCUCACAAUCACUCGUGAUAAAAUCCAUGAAGUGAUUCAGGUGAGCAUGGGGUUAAUCCAAUACUCUAAUCUUAUUAAAGCACUCAUGAACUCUGCAUCAAACUUGUGCUUUGUCUAAAUACUUCAGACAAUCUACAGACAGAUUCAUGACAGUCUUCCUUCAUACCUACUCCCAAUGUAUAACCGAUUGUGGAUGUUUGAAUAACCUAGUUAUUUUGGAAGUCAAAACAUGCAGAGUGAAAUGCAAUAAUAAUAUUAAUCCUAUAUGGCCCCAAAACUUUUGAGCGUAAAUAAAACACUUUUAUUUAAACACCAUGUUGAUUACUCAUUACUCAUUGCUUAUUGUUUCAUAAAACCAACUUAUUACUUGAAUUAUAACAAUAGCUGUCCCAUGCUCCGAGCAUGCACACUAUGUUUCCUAUGGUUCAUGCUUUGUGAAAUAGAUCCAUUGAAAACUAUUCCAUUGAUGCUAAUUUCACAAUUCCUUAUCCUCAACGAUAGUGUAAGAAUACAAGGUUCUUUCCACUACUAGAAUAUGUUAGAUUCUAACAUUUUAUGCAACGGUCAUUUCGUAAUGUCACGACACAAAAGUCACUAAGACUCGGCCAAUGAAAUUACAAAAUGCUCUAUUGGAGAUUGUUACAAGACAAUUCCAUAGUCAUGAAGUCUCAUAUUCAAAGUACAUUCCUUUGAACAUCCUUCUUGCAUAAAAGUUUCUAAUCUAGACAUUGAUUCUCGAUAUCCAACACCCAAUAUGGAAAAAUUUCCAUAUUUGCCAUAUGACAAUUCAUUCUAAAUAGAAUCUUAUCUAUUCAUAAUAAUGUUAAUAUGGUCCAUCCAUGACUAUACUUCCAACUAUCCACAAGCGACCAAUCCUUGGCGAACCUUAGAUUGUCCUUGACAGUUGUUUAAUUAUUUUAGUCAAAACGGGUUCUAUUUCCUUUUUCCCUCUAAUUGCCCUAGGAAUUUGGAAAAUUUUAGAACGGUCGAAUAUUUCAGCAUAUGCAAUCGAUCCUAUACCCGAAGCGUAUGGGAUACAAUUCAUAAUGAAAAAACGUGACACUUUACCAGUUUCUUAGUAUAAUAUCGUCAUAAUAUUUCUAUUUGCCGUGUUCUCAAAAUUCGGACUAUGAAGAGGGAUCUCGUAAUCAUAAUCGAACUUUGAGAAUGCAAAUAAUAAAUAUACCCUUGAAGAGGGAUCUCAAUCUAAGCUUUUAGAUUGGAAACGGAGUAUAACAUUCUCUCCCUUAAUUAUAGCAAAAACAACUUUUCAACCCCUACAACUUUGCAAAGGGAAACUUUUGUUUUUUUAUAAUUAAUAUUGCUAACUUGCAAUACUCACCGUAAUAAUCAUGCUCCCACUAAAAUGAUGAUUAUUUCCUUACAAGCAUAACACUUAUGCUCCCACUAGCUUUGACAUAUAUUCAGAAAACAUUUGAACUUCUAGAAAACAAUGCUUAUUGAAUUCCUUAAGUUCAUAUUUCUAAAUACCCGAUGCUUUGAUAAGCCUUUAUCUAAGCUUCUUAAACUCAUACACCUUUGCCUUAGAAAGCUCACAUGUGUGUCUAAAGAAAUUCAGAACUUAUGUUACUAAGUCCCAAAUGUUCAAACCAAUUGCCAAAUCUCACAAUUCGAACUAUGAAAAUGGAUGUCUUAAUCAUAAUCGAAUUUGAGAAUACGAUUUUCAUAAUUGCUAUCUUCUAAAAUCUCUCUUAGUGAAAGCAUUUCCUCACAAUAAUUUUCAAGAAGGAGGGAAACCUUAUGACACUUAGAUUUUAUGGUGUAUGUGUUCCUAUCCAUGUAAAUUUUCCAAAACGAAGGUUUGCGACAAAUCCAAAACCAUAUGGACUGAACUUUCUCAAUUUUGAUUUCUUGCCUCAUGGUAACACGAGUGCCCACCAUGUCUUCCAAGUAGUUUAGCAACUCAUCCUUACAUAUCAAUGUACUUUCCAUUUAUCAAGGUGCUUGCCUUUAUGCAUACAAAUGAGAACUCAUAGAACUCACAUACAUAUUUAACUCAACUGGAAUGGAACAGAAACAAGAGUAUGUCAGCCACAAUAGGUUAUAAACCUCAAGUCGUACACUAGUGAUGAUCAACUAGGUUUAUUCUUGAUUUGUUCUUGAAACCUUUCAAGACCAUUAAGGCUCCCACUGACUCCUUGACAUAUAAGAUUCUCUUGUCAAGAAACUUUUCUUGACAAACAAAUAUUCAAGAGUUAGUGUAGCUUUUAUCAAGACAAAACACUUCACAAAAUUGGUCCUAGUUGGUCUUUGUCUUAUCCAAGACAUCACAACUUACUGUGACAACCCGAAAUUUUCAUUUGUAUAAACUCUACAGUCAUGCACUUCAAAUAAUAGUCAAAUUCAUUUCUGUACAUUUUUGGCCGGUUUAAAAUUCAUUUGAGUAUUUUUAUUUUUUUAUUUUCGUCAAACGAACAAAUAAACGGAAAUAUCUUUUAGGAGUAUUGAGUAGCAAGUAAGCAAAAAACACCUUGGUUAGGUGUUUACGGACAAACAUGAGGAGUUUGGGCCGUAAACUCCUCUUUGACCAAGAACUCAUGCAUAUAGCAUGAGUUUACUCCCCAAACCCCUCACUUCUCACUCCUUAGCUCAAGAACUCCCACCGUUCUCUCUCAACUAUCAUAAUAUCAUCUUCCAAAUCCUCCAAAAAUGUAAGUUUCUCUUCACUUUGUUUUGUUGUUAUAACACCUUUUCUAGUGUCUAUACAUCAUUUCAUCCAUGGAUUCUUCAUUUCUACUUAGAACUUCAAGUGUUCUUCAAAACACCAAGAACACACACUAGUGUUCUUGGGACCUAAACACUCUUACAAGCUUCCCAUAAGUAUGUACACUCCUCCUAUCUAGUUAAUUGCUUAUUAUACUUGUUAAUCCAUGGAAAACAUCAAAAACACCCAAGAACACUUAGGUUUACGGUCAAGGGAUAUCCUUGAACCGUAAACAUCAUCAAGUGGUGUUUAAAUGCCCCUAACACCUUCUAUGGCUUGGAUAAAAGACUAGAACCUUGCAUGCAUGAACUAGAAACACCAAAACACAAAAUGGUUGGAGUAACCAUGAGUUUACAGUCGUAAACUCAUGGGUUUACGGCCGUAAACUCCCAAGGAGUGGUCCAAAGACCGUAAACUCCGAAAGGUGAGCCAUUUCGAGCCCUAACCACUUCCUAAGCCCUUGAUUCAAACCUAGAACCCUUCCUUGUGAGGUAUAAGACCUUAAAACACACAAAUUAACCAUUACCAUGAGUUUACAUCCAUAAACUCAUGGGGGAAAUGGUCCAAAAGCCGUAAACUCAUAUGGUGUUACUAAAUGAGGAGUAAACUCCAAUGUGAGGCCAUACUCUCCUUAGAUGCAACCCUUUAGCACUCCUAGCCCUUGAAGCAAAGUGUUUUCAUGUAUUAGGAUGACUUUACUUGCUUAAUUAGUGAUUAAUUAACUAAUUGGAUACAUAUAUGUGUCACUACAUUUUACAUAGGAUCCGUGUGUGUGUUCAAGUCCUCACUUGACACCUAGCAUCCUACCUGACACUUCCAUCCAAUACACUCACUGUAGGUGAGUUCAUACCCCUUAAUUAACCUUUUAAAUGAUUUUAAAUGCUUUUAUUGGGGGGGGGGAAUACAAGUUGAACAUUUAUAGUUAUUGCUUUAACCACAUGUGAUUAAUAACUAGAACAAACAGACAGACUUUCUAUUGCUUCCAAAUUGCUAUCAAACUUAUGGAUUUUCAAGUGUUUCAAACCUUUAUUUUACUCUUUAAAUACUAAAACUGUUUUCAAAUUCUUUUAAACUUACAUUUCUUUCAAACCCAUAUGUGUGUGUGUGUGUGUGUGUUAGAUAUAAUAGUUUUCACUUCAGUUCAGUACAUUUGUGUAACAAAGGCAUGCAAAUAACAUUACUAUUUAACUAUAAUAGGUAUAGUUAAGCAUUACUACUCAUUACUACGAUUAAAAUGACACUUACCAAAGUCAGUUCAGUUAUGAGUCAAUACACUAUAUACUAUACAAGAGAACACUCUAUACAUUAUACCCGAAAAUAUACUAUACAACAUACAAAAGAAUAUACUAUAAUUAGAAUGUGACAUACUACUUCUUGAUACGACACUUCAUGGUGCUAUCACUUUGUAACCAGAGUCUCCUAGAGGGAGAGUGGGAAUUGUGUGUAUAGAUCUAUAUGGGACAGAGACUCCCACAUCCCGACUGCUAGCUACAGUCUCAGUCGAAAGGAUAAGGGGUGACAGAAUGUUACCUCACUAUAUAGGACCUGGAGGGUCAUCAGUUAUUCAGCCUUCAAUCAGCAUGGUUACAUAUGAGUUCACAUUCAUUCCUCUAGACUUUUCGAGGAGUCUUAUUUAUUUAAUACUACAUGGAGUCCGCGUUUUAUCACUUUAUACUCAGCAGUGUCACUGCCUGGGGUGAAAUAUUUAUUUUUCCUUAUUACAUUUAUUUUGAAAUCACCUUUUAUGAGUGAAGUCAUAAACUAUAUUUUCAUACAAAUAGUUUCACUGGGGAAAACCCUUACAUUUAUGAAAGUACAAAUACACAAAUAAUCGGGUCUUGGUAGAAGACUACUUUUACUGGAAAAUAUAGGAUUUUCUAGGGGGUAUACUGUUUAUAAACACUGAAAUCAGUUAUUUCACCACAUAGUUGUAAACAUUUUUAUACAAGUAAUGACACUAAAUACUUAUGAACUCACCAGCUUUAUGCUGAUAAACCCUUUCAAAAUAACCUGUAUUCUCAGGUCAUCAGUAGACAGGUACAGAUGAAGCUUUUGAGAAGAUGGAGCACAUGCAAAACUCAUCUUUUAUUUUGAUUAUACUUUUGGUGUCUUACAAACUGUACAGAACACACUUGUAUUACAAUUAUUAUAUUAAUAUUAACGCAAUGGAUGUUGUUGCUUGUCUUUACUAUUAUGAAUUGUUGUGAUACUGUACAUGACGUCCUCCACCCCAGAACAUUUUCGUCGUUCUUAGUUUUGGGGUGUGACACUUACCAAUUUCAAAUGUGCAGGAAUAAGAAGACUUUUUCCAAUUCCACAUUUGUUAGAGUGUUCUAAACCUACUAAAGACGUGUCACUCAAUUCGCAAUCUUGGAGUAUGACUCUAAGACUCGAUAUUGGAACAAAGUAUGAUUGACUUCUUGAUUUAACCAUUUCCACAAUUCUCGAUUCCUCUUCUUAGACAUACAAAUGUACUAAGACUCACUUAGAGGAUCAAUUGAGAUAUGGUUCUUAAUCAUUAAGACUUAUCAUAAAACACAAUAAAAGGUACUCUCCCUUCUUCUUAGAAUAGAGAAACUUUUAUCUUUCUGCCUACUUGAUUCUUCUUAUUCAUUCUGCAAUUUAUUGAAAAUCUUUCAAUCAACUCAGAAUUAUAUUUAAUCUUAUAAGUAUAACCAUAUUUACUAAACUUUAGUAAGUCAUGACGAAUAUCUUUAUCACACUUGUGGUGGACUUGAUCAACGCACAACCUAGUGUACUUGAUCUCAUUGUCCUUCACUUGACACUUUGUCAAAGAAUUAGUCUAAUUUCCAAAUAUGAAGUUUCUCAUUCAUCACACAACCAAGUUGUAUGAUUCCAAGUUUCUGUCCAAUUGAAACUUGGGCGGUGAGAAACUCUCCCUAUUUUGUAAAUUCUUGACAUUUCCACAAAUAGCAAAACAAGAAUCAUAUCCAGUUUAACAUUGCUAAAUUUAGAAAUACAUAAACAUCCAUUUUCACACAUGCCAUUGUAAGGAUAAAUAAAUAAAUAAAACUCAAAAUUUAUUUUAUUGCGGAAAAGCUUUUCCUUACAAUACGAUUCAACUGAAAACUAUGUUAUUACAUAUUUCUUAGCAAUCUAUCUUAACUCCAAAGUAGCAGCUCAAAAAUCUGAUCUUUAAGCAAUGCGAUCGAAAUCCAUUUCUUCACGAUCAGAUUCAACUCACUUCUAUUGGAUUAAUGUCUAAGUCCAUAACUAUAUUUGGUAUGUACUUGACCCGACCCGGCAUGGUCCAUUUGGGUUGCACUUCACCGACACAAUUUAUAUGGAUAAUCUUUUGAGAAUAGUAUGUUUAUGAUUAAUAUUAAUAUAUUAUAAGUUCUAAUAUAUUAAUAUGGAAUCAUAUUAUUUAAUUAGUAUUGAUCAAGAAUUAAUUUAUAAUUAAUUAAGUGAUCAAAAGGAACUAAUUAAAUAUGGACUCUUAUAUAUAUGGAAUGGGCCAAGUUCAUUUAGGUUGGGCUAAGCUUUCAUGGAUAGUCCAUGGAGUGUUUAACCCAUGGAUCCUAGGAAAUGAAAGGUCAUGGGUAUUAGGGUUUAACCCUAAUCCUCCAUACUAUAUAAAGAUGUCUUUGGUUGGUGAAAUUGGCACUAGUGUGGAUACACUAAAGAAGGGCUAGCCAAUUUCACUAGAGAGAACCAAGUAAUCAUAUUCUCUAAAGUAUUCCAAGGUGUCUUGGUGAUUUGUGAUUCCACUUGAGGCUUCCACACUAUUGGGGCUAAGCUCUUAAAGCUUGAAGACAUCAAGCUACAUCAAGAGGUAUGUAUUCUAUCUUGUUACAUUCAUAGUUUUUGUAUGCUAGAUUAGGAUAAUACCUUGGAUGUUCUUAUUUGCAUGUAUAAUAGAGAAAACAUAGAUCCAAGGUAUUUAGGGUUGCAUGUACACUUAGGAAGUGUUAGAAUGCUCAAAACCCAACAGUGGUAUCAGAGCCACGGGUUGUUUUCUGUUAUAUUGAUGCAAAUAUUUUAUUUUCAAAGUUGAAAAAAAAAAAAAAAAAAAAACAUGAAGUUUGUCAAAUUUUAAGAUAAUUACUUGUUCUUGUGAAAAACUAAUUAUUUGUAAAAUUUGAAUAAUUUGCUUUAUGAGUUGAAUUAGGUCAAAUUUAAUAAAAGAUAAAAUAAUAUGAUUAUUUUAUUAGUUUUAAAAGUUUGAUCUAAAGAGUUUUAUUUUUUGAAACCUCCAUAAGUUAUGGAUAUGAAAAGGUUUUAAAAAAAAAAUUGAUUCAAAGUUUUUUUGGAGUUACAAAAUUUGGUGUUAAUGUUUUAAAGGAUUCCAUAACUUAAGAAUAAGUUAUGGAUCACCAAAAGUUUUUUGUGUUACCUUGUUUUAUGAGUGAAUUUAGAUUAAUGAAUAAAAUUAUGUGAUAGUUGGUUUUAAUCCAAAUUAAUCUAAGAAUUGAUUCUAAAAUGUGUUUUUGUAACUUGUCCUCAAGUUAUAUGAAAAGUCACAUUUAAGAAUCAUAAAACUCAUAAAAAUUGGCAAAGGUUACAAAAAUGAAGAGUCUAGUUCUAAUUAAAUGGUUUUAUGACUCCAUAACUUGUCCUCAAGUUAUGGAGGACCAAGAGUCUCUUCAUUUAAUAAAAUAAAAUAAAAUAAAAAAAGGUGUAACCUUAAUUAAUUCCAUAAGUUAUAAAAUAAAGAAAAGUUAAUUCUUUUAUUAGUUUAAAGUCUUCCAUAACUUGUCCUCAAGUUAUGGAACUUGAAGAGUUUUUGGAUUAAAACUACUUUAAACACAUAAGUUAUGGAAUUAAUUAGUUUUGAAUAGUUUCAAAACUUGCCCUCAAGUUUUGGAAUUUGUAAAGUUUUCACUUAUGAAUACUUUAAUUCCAAGUUAGCCCUUAGAAUUUUAAAAGUUAAAAUUCAACCCUUAUACUUUAUAAUAUUAUAAGUUAAUAAUAUAUAUAUGUAUAAGAGUAAAGUCAGUCUUACCGCUAGUACGCCUCAUUCACGAAGCCGGUCUAUAAGGUGGGUAUAAGGUUGUUGCCUAUAAAAUGGCAACUUAAUGGGUGUCCACUCUCACCCACCGCUUGCUUGACUGGUGGAGGGUCGUUAGCCGAACGGGUUUGACAGGACUAGAAUUCUCCCUUCAUUAAAAGUAUUAAUGAUAAUACUAAGUAACUAAACUCUUAAUAAUACCCAAUCUUAGUUACUUAGGAAAAAUGUGAAUAAGGUGCUAAUCCAUGAAAUUACACUUUACACUUUGUCUAAGUCGUUAGUGGAGCGUGUGUGGUUAACCGGCACACUAACUUGGACUUAACAAGGUAGGUAAAGGGUGACUUAAUAUUUAUCAUAGUAUCGAUGGAGCGUGUGUGGUUAACCGGCACAUCGAUUGAGGGGUAAUUUAUUAAGGGUACCAAGUGAUUUGCAUGGUUACUUCACACCUUGUUUUGUGAUCCUCGGCAUCCCAGUCACAAAACCUGAAGGGCACACUCGAGAUUGAAACAUGCCUUUGAAAAGUUCAAUGAAUCUCAAAGAUCUAGGAGUUUCAAAACCAAUUAAAACCUAAUAAUACAUUUCGUUUAUCUUGGUGGAAAUUGGUGAAU
rnacentral:lncRNA from 1 species